GAUUAGAUAAACUGCAUCAAGAAGAAAAAUGGUAUGUACAUAUCAUCAUCUCUUAUGUAUAAUAAUUAAAAAUAUGAAAUAAUAAAAUGAUAUUCAAAAUUUAGUUUUUCUAGAAAAAUAUUCAAAGUUCUUAUUUUUUUAGAUUUUAAUUAUAAUUUUUAUGGUAAUUAAAUAUAUAUUCUUCUAUUCUGUUAUUUUAUCAAUAUUAUAUCAAUCUCCAACUCUAUCUACAACUCUAUGGGUGAAAAAAGAAAAGAAAAAAGAACGUAAAAAUUAUUAUUUUAUAGAAAUAAAUACCUCAAGUGAUGUUGGCUCCUAUUAUUUUCGGAUCAAUUAAAUGUAGAUGGAGGGAAUGUGGCGCACUUUAUAGAAAUCCUCUCCUUCUCUUCCAUCUAUCACUUUAAUCCUUUCUUUCAAUGACCAAGAUACUCCUAAUAAAUUCAAUUCUUGGAGAGUAGUAAUGUACCUCAAUCCUUCUGGAAGCAUCCUUAUACUCUCAACAUUGACCAACUUCAAUUCUCGAAGGCAUGGCAUUGCGCCUUCUUCUAUUUCCCACUCCUUCAACUCAAGGAACGAAGACAUUCGAAGAUAAUCAAGUUUAGGAAAUCCAUUUGCAGAGCACACCAUUUUACUCCCAAUAUAUGCUUGCUCCAUAUAGAGAAUCCUCAAAUGACAUAGCUUUUCUAAUACCGCCAUUGGAUCUUGUCUCAGCCAACAGUGAGACAAAGUUAAUUUGACAAUAUUUAAUGGAAGAAAUUUCAAAACAUGACCGUUCCGAUGUGGCCCAUCUUGUAUCCGCCCCAUCAAUUUCAGUUUGGAGAGGUGAUAAUAUUGAGAAAGGGGUUCUAAGUCUAGGUGUGAGCCAUCAAAAAAACUUAAGGACACUGACCUAAGGCGUUGCAAUUUGGCUAGCAAGAUUAGGGUAGGCUUCAUAUAUUUUCCUCUGGUAAAUACUAUUCCUAAACUCUGAAUAUUAGUCCACCUAAGCGCCGCAUUAAUUUCAGCCGCCUUCUCAUCCACCACUAUGUACUUCUAAGUUUCAAUAUUUUUUGAAGUGAACCCUUGCCGCCAACGAAGUCUAUGGGGGAAUCUCCUAUCCACUUUUAUUACAAUAUGCCUUAAACGUUCUAACUUAAACACACCAUCUGGAAUUACAAUGUCAUACCAAAUAUUGAUGUAUAAAGUGUACAGAUUCUUCAACCUGCCAAUAGAUCGCGGCAAAAUCAUUUUGCUAUAGCAUUCUAACUUCAAGUAUCUUAAAUAUAGGAGAUUACCAAUUUCAGCUGACACAUGCCAGUCUUCAUAUAUUUUACCGAUUACAGCUGACACAUAUAUGCAUUUUCCUUUUUGAAGAGUCAACACCCUCAAAAAUUUGAAGCUUUUGUAUUUUGAAAUGCACAAUUCUACCAAUUUCUCAGAAUGAGAAAACAACAAAGAGCGUAAUUUUGGAUGCUUUCCCUUCAAAUAAACUUUCGAUUUACUAGGAUGAAUAGAAAUUCUUCGUAGCAUAGAUUCUGCCAAUGUCACUUCAAGUUCAUGCUGUGGUUGUUGAAUAAUUUCCAAGAACUUCUCCUCUCUUGCUUUCUUCGUGCACAAGUCCCUCAAGAGAUCAUGCACUCGACAUGUCUCCACAUUUGUUCCUGUAUAGUCUCGCCUGCUAAGUUGAACCAAGCUCCGAUCUAUAAGCUCUUCUAGGAAUAUUUCGCCUAAAUCCUCCAUGAAGAAUUCUUCGUUUUCCGGAAUGAAACCUUCAGCGAUCCAUAAACGAAUGAGUUCUUUUUUCGGUAUCUCCCAAUCUUCUGGAUAAUGACUAAGAUACAAAAAGCAUGGUUUUAAAGGAUAAGGCAAGUCAUUGUAGCUUGAAACCAAAAUUCGGUUCACUGCACCAUAUUGACGAUCUUGGUGUGGGAGCUCAUUUAAGUGUCCAUGGAUGUUUUUAUGAACCAUCUCCCAUUGAGCCACUGACUGUUUUGUUGCCAGCAAGCAACCCAACACAACAAUUGCUAAAGGCAAGCCUCCACAUUUUUUCACCAUCUCUUUUCCAAGCUUCACAAAUUCUUCUGAGCAGCAUUGAGAACCCAUUUUGCUCCGUGGGAAUGCUUUCUUACACAAAAGAUUCCAACUUUCAUCAUCCGUAAGAACUGAGAGCUCCAUGGGAGUGUUGCAAGAAUCGGCUCGUGAAGCCACAUUCCUGUUGCGUGUUGUGAACAAUAUUUGGCUUCCCUUUCUUCCUCGUGGAAAAGCAGGUUUAAGAAUAUCCCAAUCCUCGCUUCUCCAAAUAUCAUCGAUGUUGGAAUAUUUUCAAAUAUUUAUAGUAUCCCAAUAAUUAUAAAUGAAUGAGUGUAAUUAAUCAAAAGAUAAAACUUUUGGUCAUUGGUCAAAAGUUAUAUCAUUUGAUUUUUUAAAAAAAGAAUUAUAACUAUUCAAAAAAUAUUAUUUGAAUAGUUACAAAAUUAAAUGAAUAAUUAUUAUUAUUUAUUUAUUCAUAAAGACACCUAUUGAAAGAUGUCUCUAUGAAGAGACAUGAAAAUUCCUAUAAAUAGGAAUGAGAUUUCAUUUGGAAAUCAUAUCAACAAAUUCUAAUAUUAUUUCUUCUCUUCCUUCAUUUUCUAAUAUUAUUAGAUUAUUCUAUAAAGUAUUGCUGCAGAAAUCCUUUGUAGAAAUUGAAUUUUUGUUAUACAUUACUCAGUGCAUAGUGGACUAUUCUCGUCAGUGCAAAACACAAAUAGUCAUUGGCUUCAUUGUAUCCUCGAGGUUAAUUUGCUUGGAACUCGUUUGCACACUGAAGAUAAGUGGGGGCGAAUAUAACCUUAAAGAUAGUGGCUUGAUACACGCCUUGGAGCCUGUCCUAUUUCUUCUUUUUCUUUUCGAGUUCCGAUCGUGUGUUCGAGUUUUUUCCUUACCGGAGUUUUGUACUAACAAUUUUAAGGUUAUAUUUCAUGAUGACUACCACAACACAUGAAAGUGGAACACUAAGGGAGUUGGCUUCCAACUUUGUUAAACUUGAUCGUUUUGAUGGUGGCAAUUUUCGACGAUGGCAGAAAAAGAUGCACUUUUUGUUAUCAACUUUGAAGAUUGCUUAUGUUUUGGAUACUCCAAGACCUGAAGAGAAUGAAAAUGAAUCUGUUGCUGCAACCCGAGAAAGACAAAAAUGGGACAAUGCUGAUUACAUGUGCAUGGGCCACAUAUUGAAUGGUUUAUCUGAUGGUUUGUUCGACACCUACCAAAACGACGUCACCGCUAAAGAAUUAUGGGACAAAUUGGAGGCAAGAUACAUGACCGAAGAUGUUACAAGUAAGAAAUUUCUUGUCAGUCGUUUCAAUAAUUAUCAAAUGGUUGAUGGUCGUUCUGUUAUGGAACAAUUUCGUGAUAUUGAAAAGAUGCUGAAUCAAUUUAAGCAAUAUGAUAUGAAAAUGAAUGAAAUGAUUGUGGUAUCCUCCAUAAUAGACAAACUUCCUCCAUCUUGGAAAGACUUUAAAAGAAGUCUAAAACAUAAGAAAGAGGAAAUAUCUCUUGAGGCUUUGGCAAAUCAUCUUCGUAUUGAAGAAGAGUAUCGAAAACAAGAUCAGAACCUAAAUUCUGAAAAUACCAAAGUACAUGUUACGGAGGAAGUACAGACUACUAAACCAUUCAAGAGAAAGUUCAAUCAGACUGAUAGGGCACCUAAGUUCAAAAAGAAACAAAAGGGCUCAUGCUAUCAUUGUGGAAAGCCGGGACAUUUCAAGAAUGAAUGUCGAUGUUUAAAGAAGAAAUCAUCUUCUAAGGCUGAUAAUAACGAAAAGUUCGUUGCAAUGAUAUCUGAAAUUAAUAUGGCACAAGAUGAUAAUACAUGGUGGAUUGAUACCGGAGCAACCAAACAUGUGUGCAAAGACAAAAGCAUGUUCACAAAGUUCACACAAUGUGAAAAUGACAAUGUCUUGUACAUGGGAAAUUCUUCCACCGCAACAAUUAAAGGCAAAGGGUCUGUUGAACUACAAUUCACUUCUGGAAAGGUUUUAACCUUAAAUGAUGUAUAUUAUGUACCAGAAGUUAGGAAAAAUUUAGUGUCUGGAAGUCUGUUGAAUAAGUUUGGUUUCAAACUUGUUUUUGAGGCAGAUAAGUUUAUUUUGUCUAAGGGAGGAAUUUUUGUGGGAAAAGGGUAUAUGUAUGAAAGCAUGUUCAAACUUAAUAUUAUUAAUAAGAAUAAAAAUACUAUUUCUGCUUAUAUGGUUGAAUCAUUUUGUUUGUGGCAUUAUAGAUUAGGUCAUUUGAAUUAUAGAAAAUUGAAUGACAUGCAUAAAUUAGAUUUAAUUCCUGUUUUUAAUAAUAAUAUUGAAAAAUGCAAUACCUGUAUGUUGACUAAAAUUACAAGAAAUCCUUUCCCUAAGGUUAAAAGGAAAACAAAAUUGCUUGAUUUGAUACAUAGUGAUUUAUGUGACUUGCAUAAUACUCCUACAUUAGGUGGAAAGAAAUAUUUUGUUACUUUUAUUGAUGAUUGUUCUAGAUAUUGUUAUGUAUAUUUAUUGCAUUCAAAAGAUGAAGCGCUUGAUAAAUUUAAAGUUUAUAAAUCUGAAGUUGAACUUUAGUGUGAAUCAUUUAUCAAGUGCUUAAGAUCGGAUAGAGGUGGAGAAUACUAUAAUCCAAGUUAUUUUGAACUCACUGGAAUUGUCCAUCAAGUUUUAGCCCCUUACACACCACAACAAAAUGGUGUAGCUAAAAGGAAAAAUAGAGUCUUGAUUGAAAUGGUAAAUUCAAUGUUAUCAUAUUCAGGUCUUGGACAGGGUUUUUGGGGAGAAGCUGUUCUAACAGCUUGUCAUAUAUUGAAUAGAGUUCCUAAUAAGGAAACUAAAAUAACCCCCUAUGAACAAUGGAAGAAAAGGAAACCAAACCUUAAUUAUUUAAAGGUUUGGGGUUGUAGAGCUAUUGUAAAAGUUCCAACACCUAAACGUAAAAAGUUAGGUGAAAGAGGAAUUGAAUGCAUAUUUAUAGGUUAUGCACAUAAUAGCAAGGCAUAUAGGUUCAUAGUAAUUGAACCAAAUGAUUCAAUUUCAAUUAAUACGGUUAUUGAAUCAAGAGAUGCUAAUUUUGAUGAAAAUAGAUUUAAUUCUAUAUCAAGACAAUUACAACCACAACAAUUGAUUCAUUCUUCAAAUGAGAAUGAGAUUCCAUUGAAACAAAUUGAUAAUAAUGAUGAAUCUUGUCAAGAAUUAAGAAGAAGUAAGAGGAUUAAAAAGGUCAAAGAUUUUGGACCAGAUUUCAUUAUGUUUCUUGUAGAAGGAAAAGGUGAAAGUAUAUGCAAUAAGAUACCUUAUUGUUAUAAUACCGAAUCUGAUCCUAUUACAUUUGAAGAAGCAGUGAAAUCUCAAGACUCUGCUUUUUGGAAAGAAGCAAUAAAUGAUGAAAUGGAUUCAAUAAUGGGAAAUCAAACUUGGAUCUUAGUUGAUCUUCCACCAGGUUCCAAACCAAUAGGUUGUAAAUGGAUCUUCAAAAAGAAAAUGAAGGUCGAUGGAACCAUUGAUAAAUUUAAAGCAAGGUUGGUAGCAAAAGGUUUUACACAAAGACAAGGUAUUGAUUACUUUGAUACCUAUGCUCCAGUAGCAGGAAUUGCUACAAUUAGACUAUUAAUAUCACUUACCUCUAUAUAUAAUUUGGUUGUUCACCAAAUGGAUGUUAAAACUGCAUUUUUAAAUGGUGAAUUGGAAGAGGAAGUGUACAUGGAGCAACCAGAAGGAUUUGUUGUUCCAGGACAAGAGCAUAAGGUAUGUAAGCUUGUUAAAUCUUUAUAUGGGCUUAAACAAGCACCAAAACAAUGGCACCAAAAGUUUGACAAGGUUGUUUUAGCUAAUGGCUAUAAAAUAAAUGAAUCCGAUAAGUGCAUAUAUAGUAAAUUUGAUAAUGGAAAGGGUGUUAUAAUUUGCUUAUAUGUAGAUGACAUGCUCAUUUUUGGCACGGAUUUGGAACAAAUAGAAAACACAAAGAAAUUCUUGUCAAACAACUUUGCUAUGAAGGAUAUGGGUGUAGCAGAUGUUAUUCUUGGGAUUAAAAUAACCCGAGAUGAAAGCACUAUAGCUUUAUCACAAUCACAUUACAUUGAAAAUGUGCUUAAAAAGUUUGAUCUUUUCAACUGUAUACCAGCAUCUACACCCAUGGAUCCUCAAUUAAAAUUAGUAUCUAAUGCUGGUAGGAAAAUUGAUCAAUUGAAAUAUGCAAGUCUAAUUGGUUGUCUUAUGUACAUAAUGACUUGUACAAGACCAGAUAUUGCAUAUGCUAUUGGAAAAUUGAGUAGAUACACAAAUAAUCCAAGUAGUUUGCAUUGGCAAGCUUUAAAUAGAGUACUUAGGUACUUAAAGAAAACUAUUAACUAUGGAUUGUGUUAUAAUGGAUAUCCUCCAGUUUUAGAAGGGUAUUCAGAUGCUAGUUGGAUUACAAGUUUGGAAGAUCAUGCAUCUACUAGUGGGUGGAUCUUCAUUCUUGGUGGAGGAGUCAUUUCUUGGGGUUCCAAGAAACAAACAUGUAUUACUGAUUCCACCAUGGCAGCAGAAUUUAUUGCAUUAGCCGCUGCAUCUAAAGAAGCAGAAUGGUUAAGAAAUUUACUUUAUGAUGUACCUUUAUGGCUUAAGCCAAUUUCACCUAUUUCUAUUCGUUGUGAUAGUGAGGCUACUCUAGCAAAGGCAUAUAGCCAAGUAUAUAAUGGAAAGUCUAGACAUAUUGGAUUAAGACAUAGUUAUGUCCGACAAUUAAUUUCUGAUGGAGUGAUCACUAUUAAUUAUGUGAGGUCAAGUGAAAAUUUGGCAGAUCCUUUGACAAAAAGUCUUGCUAGAGAUGCAGUAAAAAGGACCUCAAAAGGGAUGGGACUCAAGCCUAUUAAUUAGAGUCACCCAUGAUGGAAACUCGACUCAACGCUUGGUAUAACGUCAAGUCUUGAGUUCAAUGAGACAAAGUACAUCAUUAGUAUGUGACUGUUAGCACUAUAAAUAAAUCCAUCCUAAGAUUAAAGUGCUAGGUACCCGUAAUGAUAAGGGAAGGAUGAGUAAUGUACUCUUAAUGGACCCAUAACAUAAAUAUGUUAGAGUGUUAUAAUUACGGGAACACUUUUGAUGGGAUCUACCUAUGUGAGUGGAAGUGUGGCCGCUUCUAGGAGCUUAAGGGCUUGGCUCUGACAACACUCAUGAAAAGAGGACAUAGACACAUGGCUAUAAUAGUGUCCCUAGAUACUAUGCAUUGACUGAUGUUGAAAUUAUUGUGUGAGAUGUGUUCAGUUAAUCAAAUGGAAUAGUUGGUUCAAAGCUUAGUCUACCAUACAAUUUCGAUUAACUUUAACAUGUUUUCACUAAGUGAAGGUUCAAUCGUAAGACACCUUUAUUUAUGCAAAUUGAUUUCCAAGAAUAUCAAAAUCUAAAUAUUUUGAAAAUGGGGGGAGAUUGUUGGAAUAUUUUCAAAUAUUUAUAGUAUCCCAAUAACUAUAAAUGAAUGGGUGUAAUUAAUCAAAAGAUAAAACUUUUGGUCAUUGGUCAAAAGUUAUAUCAUUUGAUUUUUUAAAAAAGAAUUAUAACUAUUCAAAAAAUAUUAUUUGAAUAGUUACAAAAUUAAAAAAAUAAUAAUUAUUAUUUAUUUAUUCAUAAAGACACCUAUUGAAAGAUGUCUCUAUGAAGAGACAUGAAAAUUCCUAUAAAUAGGAAUGGGAUUUCAUUUGGAAAUCAUAUCAACAAAUUCUAAUAUUAUUUCUUCUCUUCCUUCAUUUUCUAAUAUUAUUAGAUUAUUCUAUAAAGUAUUGCUGCAGAAAUCCUUUGUAGAAAUUGAGUUUUUGUUAUACAUUACUCAGUGCAUAGUGGACUAUUCUCGUCAGUGCAAAACGCAAAUAGUCAUUGGCUUCAUUGUAUCCUCGAGGUUAAUUUGCUUGGAACUCGUUUGCACACUGAAGAUAAGUGGGGGCGAAUAUAACCUUAAAGAUAGUGGCUUGAUACAUGCCUUGGAGCCUGUCCUAUUUCUUCUUUUUCUUUUCGAGUUCCGAUCGUGUGUUCGAGUUUUUUCCUUACCGGAGUUUUGUACUAACAAUCGAGGACCACCAAAUACCGCUUUUCUUUCAAAGCAUCAAAAAGCGUUCUCAUCAGCUCAAUCUCGUCCAUUUUCUCAAUUUUCUCUCUUUCAUUAUUAGAAGGAGAGAGAACUUUCUUCAAGACACUAAGCAAAACUUCUCUCGGCUUACAUUGUUGAGAGAUAGAAAACCAAGCCAAGAAAUCAAAAUGGCGUCUCACAUCAACAUGAUUAUAUACUUUUCUGGCAAGAGUUGUCUUACCGAGGCCCCCCAUGCCGACUAUGGAAACCACGGCGUGGGGCCUAUCUUCUUCAGUCAUCAACAUGGUGAUGACAUCCUUGGUGCUAACCUCCAAGCGAACAACGUCCUCUUCCUCAACAUGGGAGAAUGCCCUUCUUAACUGUCGUUGCACGUUGAAAACUGAGCUAGAACCUUCUCCAUCACGGGAUAUCUCAUAAGCUGGAAGAUUCUUGGAAAUGUUUUGGAGCUUGGUCUGGAUUGCUUUGACCUGCACCCCGAUUUUGUGCAGAUGAUAAGGUUUGGUGCAAAUGGAGGUGAAUCUCUUGACGAUUCCUUGAAAGCCUCCUUGAUGUGCACGUUCAAGGAUGAAGGAGUCGAUAAGAUCUUCAGCAUCGUAAGCAAGAUCUCUGAUUUCGGAUACCCGAUUACGGAGACGCGUGUCUUGUUCCGCCUUCCCAUUAACGUCCUCCAAGAAACACUGCAUUCUCUUUAGUUCAGUGUUUAGGCUCUCAACUUCUUCCUUGACAUCUUUGAGGAAAACUGCUUCACGGAUGAGUAAUUCUGAAAUUCUUUCAACAGCCAAGGACACAAUAGCCUCUGCCAUUUCACUAGCUGAUGAAAAAAAAAAGUCUGAAUUUCUUUUUUUUUUUUUUUGGUGUGGAUGUCAAACAGAUUGAUAAUCAGUCUGUGUGUAUUUUCUGAUUCCCUUUUUUUUUUGUUAUUGUUCUAUCAAAAGUAAAUGAUAGUUAAAAUUGAACAAGAAGAAAGCAAAAGCAGAUUCUUCUUUCCUCUUUAGUUAAAUUCUUUGCUUAAGAAAAUGGGGAUUCUUUUUCUAGCUUUCACUACUCCUUGAUUCCUUGCUUAGCAAUGAAAUACCCCCAAAUUAAUUCCCAAAGCUUUACUAACCUGAAACUGAAGCAUCCCUCAUACCCCUUCAAAUAUCUUACAAACAUAUGAUAUUAUAAUUAUAAAUAACUUUAAAUUAAAUUAAAAAUAAAAAUCCAUUACACCCAUUUUUUAAAAUUUGUAUUUCGUUAACCAUUCCAAUACUUUAAUUUAUCAAUUUAUCAAUAUUCCCCGUAAACUUUAGUUUGGAAAGACUGACGCUAAAAAAAAGUUCUAAAUUUAGAUCUAAUGGUUUCAGUCUUAUUAAGUAUAGCAUUAAAAUUAGAAAUAAUUUAAGUUUUUAAAUUCGAGUCUAUAGUUCAUAGUAAUUAUGAAUAAUUAAUAAAAUUAUUAAUAACUAAUAGAUAGUUAAUAAAUAGUGAUAAAUACUAAAACUAUACAUGAACUAUGGGUUAAUGUGUAAUUAUAUACAUAAAAUUUUGAUCUGAUCCAAUUCUUGUCAAGUAUUAAAAUAAUUAUUGAUAUAACAUCAUUUUUUAUUUAUAAAUUGAUAUAUUUACUUUUUUAAAUGUAUAAGAUUAAAACAAAAUUAAACUUUCAAGUAUACAUUUAAACCACAAUUAGAAUUUCACGUGUAUAAUUGCAUCAAAUUAAAAUUCAUUAAUAAUUAUAUAUUAAAUACUAAUUUAUAUAUAAUUUGAUAUUUAUCCCUAAUAGACAAUACGGUAAUAAUUAAACAAAAUUUCUUAUCAUUUGAGCCCACUUAGCUCAAAGGUUGAAGCAUCAUGUAUAAAAAAAGACAACUUAGAUGCUAAUAUUAAAUUCUUUUAAUUAAUAUUUUAUUAAUUAAAGUAUUUAAAUUUUUUUUAUUUUUUGGUAAAUUUAAACAUUUGAGACAAAAAUGAUGUAUUAAUUAAUUAAACUAUUCAAAAUUCCAUAGCAUUGUUUAAAUGUUUUCUUUUAUUUUCUCAGCGAAAGUCCAGUUUAUUAAGCAUAUAUAAAAAAAACAAUGUUCUAAAACUGUAAUAGAAAACCGUAAUGAAAUCAGCGUCAUGCAUUGAAGCAAGUAAUUUUGUACACUCUGAUCCACCGGCAAAUUCGGCGACAUAUUCACUGACGAGGCACGAGAAUGGCACUUGUCGACGGCAGCAUUGACUAAGUCUAGUGGGGUCUUGGUAGUAGAGUUGCCGUGGGGAGAUUGGUUGAGAAUGCAGAAAGCUGGUUUACUGGACUAGGAAGUACACCAUGAAUUUGCUAGAACUAGCGGUGCAACUAAAACUGUCAUCAAGCUUAUUCAUUUUCAAACUGACAAAAUUACAUUGCAACUAAAACUGAAAACUUGUUAAUGUAGCAUGCACAAGAGCUGCAACAUGCAAAUAGACUGCAUGCACUUCAACAAAAAGGGAGGAGAAAUGAAAACAGAAGGAAAGGGGUAUUCUUCAUUGUUUCUGAGUGGUAAAAGUGAGGAUGAAGAUGAUUAGAUUUUAUAAGGAUGAAGAUGAUUAGAUUUUAUAGAGAGCACUAGUAGUCUAGCAAACAAACUAAAUUUGGGGUAAUCGAGAGCCGAGCUUGAAUAAUAGUAAGUUCAAUUUGAAGGGGCUCAAUACUCAGUUCAAACUUGAUUGUACAUUAAUUUUUAAAUUUAAGUUUUGACUUGAAAUAUAAUCAAGCUAUUUGAGCUUAAGUUUAAUUGAACUCGUUCGUAUUUAAACUCGAGCUCACUUGCACUAUUCAUACGUAAGGUUUUUAGGUGCGAAUGCAUACAUCACGAAAUAGAAGUUACCAAAUGGGAUGUGUGUUGUUGAUUGGCAGCUGACUUAAAAGAUAUUUUGAAUAACACUCGUUGCAGUGUAGUAAAUUGAGUAACUUAAUGAACAAAAGAGACAAGUUUCUUCUUUAUUAAUGUCAGGCCUUGAUUGGUUUACAUGGUUACUGAAGUCAAAUUUAGCAAGCAUGUUAGUAUCUCAAGGCUGCAACUAUUUUUAAAAAAAGUAAGACUAAGUCCUAGGGAGAUUUGUUAGCUUGUAAGUUGGAGUAGGAGUUGUUAGCUUCUUAGUAGGAGUAACAAUUUGAAUUUUUGUUGAGGUUGUUACUUGAGACUUGUAUAUAAGGGCUGCAUUGGUAAUGAAUUAAAUCAUCCCUUUAUUUCAUCUUUUGUUCUAUACUUCAAUUAAGUCUUUGCUAAACCAACAGUGGUAUCGAGAGCCAUUUUUCUUGAGGGACUUGUGAGAAAAGUUUUGUGAGAGUUCUGAGAGAAAAUUUGAGAGAUACACUUGUGAGGUUUUUGUUGGAACAUUGGCAGCAUGUGUCAACCCGAUUUGCAAGCAGAACCAAGUGAGAUUGAAGCAGAAAAAGAAAAACAAAACAAAGCAAUAAACAAGACUUGAAUACUCAGCAAAUGUAACUGAACAACUUGCAAUUUUCAUUCAAAAUUUGAAAACAUAUAUUGGAGUUAAAAUUUGGCAUAGUUGACAGUUACCUAAUGAUAUAACUGCUCCCACUUAAACUAAACUAAUACAAGCUUAAGUCAAAUACAAAAAUAAGCUGACAUAUCAGCUUUUACAUCAAAAUCCCAUCACUAACAUAAUCCUACUAACUUUGUAAGUAAACUAAAGUUGAACCAAACUAAAUUACAAAAGAACUGAAUAUGCUAAGUUGGUUGCUUCAUUCGGUUCAAAUUUAAUCUUGUGCACCAAGCAAUGUUGCCAAGCUCGAUGACUGCAAUUCAGUUGCUUUGCUGCUGAUCUCGACAGUAACUGGCUGCUGGCUCCAUGUUGCAUUGCAGUCCAGCUCUCAACACUCCUCCUUGGACUGUAUGCAACACAUACCAAUUGUACUUCUCAAUGAUUCAAAUCGAGCAGCUCCUUAGGGCUUGGUUAAUAUGUCAACCAAUUGUUCCCCUGAGCUACAAUGGACAAGGCUGACUUCCCUUGUUUGUUCAGCUUCUCGAACAAAAUGCAACUUAAUCUUAAAGUGCUUAGUUUUACCAUGGAAUACAGGGUUCUUAGCUAUAGCAACUGCUGACUGGUUGUCCACCCAAAUUUCAGUUGCUUCAGCUUGAGUUUCAUUAAGGUCUUGAAGCAAUUUCCUGAGCCAAAUGGCCUGAUUAACUGCAGCUGCAACUGCAAUGUACUCUGCUUCAGCUGUGGACAGAGAACAGUCUGUUGCUUCUUUGAACUCCAGCAAAACAUGCCUGAUCCAAGUGUGAAGAAGUAUCCAGAGGUACUCUUCAUGUCAUCGAGGGAUCCUACCCAGUCACUGUCUGAGUAACCUUCUAGUCUCAGCUCCUUUCCACCUUCAAACAUUACACCAAAGUUUGCUGUGCCUUUGAUGUAUCUAAGAACCCUCUUAGCAGCCUUCAAAUGAGCUUCAUUACAGCAGUGCAUGAACCUCGAUAGCAAACUGACACCAAACAUGAUGUCUGGCCUAGUUGCUGUUAGAUACAACAGACAACCUACUAGGCUUCGAUAGUGCCUCUCAUCAACCCUUUGCUGAUCACCACAGCUGGUCAAUUUUUCACCCUGAGGUAGUGGUGUACUUACAGUUUUACAGUUUUGCAUGCAAAAUUUACCAAGGAUCUUCAAGGCAAAUGUAUGUUGGCUGAUGAAUAUGCCUCGAUCAGAUUGAUGAACUUCCAUACCAAGGAAGUAUGUCAUAAUCCCCAAAUCUGUCAUCUCGAACACUUGCUGCAUUUGAACCUUGAACUCAUCAAUGAGCUCAACUUUGCUCCCUGUCACUAACAAAUCAUCCACAUACAAGGAAACAAUCAGCAAGGUCUCAUGUUCUGACUUCUUAACAUAAAGUGUAGGUUCACUAGGACUUUUCACAAAUCCAAGCUUGGACAAGUAACUAUCAACCCUGUCAUUCCAGGCCCUUGGUGCCUGUUUCAGGCCAUAAAGGGCCUUUCUCAGCUUGUACACUUUGUCUUCAUGUCCAACAACUUUAAAACCUUCUGGUUGCUCAAUGAAGAUCUACUCCUUGAGAAAGCCAUUCAGAAAUGCUGAUUUCACAUCUAAUUGAUGAACCCUCCAAUGUUUCUGAGCAGUUAAGGCAAACAUAAGCUUGAUCAUGUCCAGUCUUGCUACUGGAGCAAAUGUCUCCAAAAAAUCAACUCCAUAUUGCUGACUGUAGCCUUUCACUACAAGCUUGGCCUUAUGCUUAUUCAAAGAGCCAUCAUCAUUGUAUUUGGCUCUAUACACCCACUUAACACCUAUGACUUUUUUGUGUUCUGGUCUGUUCACCAAUUCCCAUGUCAGAUUCUUGUUAAUCAUUUCCAACUCAGCCUAUAUAGCUUUCAUCCAAUUCCUAUCUUUGGCAGCCUCCUCGAAAUCUGUAGGCUCGAUCACAACAACACUACACCUCUGAUAAACAUCAGUCAAAGUUCUGGUGCCCCUCACUGGUGUAUCAUCAACAGCAUCAUCAUUUGGUCCCUCUUCUGUAGGCUCAAUAACCAAGUCCAUCUGAUCCAUUUCAGACAUGUCUGCCCCAACACCAUUCCAGUUCCACACCUUUUCUUCAUCAAACUUCACAUCUCUACUGACUAGAACCUUUUUUGCUGAAGGAUCAUACACUCUAUAACCUUUCUUGUUGCUGCUAUAGCCAACAAAGAUUCCUGGAAUAGCCCUGCUCUCGAGGUUGGCUCUCUUUUCCACUGGAACAAGAGCAUAGCACACACAACCAAAAACAUUCAGGUGUGUGACCAUUGGUUUAACUCCAUGCCAAGCCUCAAAAGGUGUUUUAUCCUUGACUGCUCGAGUUGGCAGCCUAUUGAGUAGGUAUACUGAGGUGUUGACAGCCUCAGCCCAAAACUGACUUGGAACCUUGCUUUGAAAUAACAGACACCUGGCCAUGUUUAGCACAGUUCUGUUUUUCCUUUCACUAACUCCAUUCUGUUAGGGAGUAUAGACUGUUGUAAGCUGAUGGUGAAUCCCGGCAUUGUCACAAAGCUUCUGAAAUUUAUCAGACACAUGCUCUGACCCAUUAUCAGUCCUUAAGGCUCUAAUUUUGCAGCCAGACUAGUUUUCAACAUAUGCCUUGAAUUUGCAGAAGGCCUCAAAUACCUCUGAUUUCUGCUUCAAGAAGUAGACCCAACAUAGCCUUGUUAGAUCAUCUAUAAACAGGACAAAAUACUCUUUUUAUAUAAUAUUCGGGUGGGGAUGGGAGUCAUAUACUUUGAACUUGUGUUAAACGGGUACUUGAUAAAAAAGUUUAAUCAUCAUUCCACGUAAGUCGUUUUAUACAUUUGGUUAUAAGAAAUCGUACAUAUUUUUGUUAUGUCAUAUAAAAGUAUACAUGUUAUAUGUUUUGAUUGACAUUGAAUCAUCUAAUUUUUAAUAGAAAUGGUGAGUUGUAAAUUUAAAGGGGUUGUUUUACUAUUUAAAUAAUGAAUUUAACCAUUUAACAUCUAAUGAGUUACUUAGAAUUUCUUUCUUUGGUUGAAAUUGAUUAAUUUCAAUGAAAUAGAUGCAAAUGACCAAUUAAUAAGAAGAUAAAUUUAAAAAAAAAAAGCAAAUUGGGAGGCCAGAAGCGAGCCUUAGAUAUAUAGCAAACAAUCACUUCAUUCAAAGCUCAUACUAUAUAGCAAUCUAAUUCUUAUAAAAAAUACGUACACACACUUCAUGAAAUUAGAUAUCUUGGCAAUAUGCAUUCCAGUGCUGAUUAGAUAAACUGCAUCAAGAAGAAAAAUGGUAUGUACAUAUCAUCAUCUCUUAUGUAUAAUAAUUAAAAAUAUGAAAUAAUAAAAUGAUAUUAAAAAUUUAGUUUAUCUAGAAAAAUAUUCAAAAUUCUUAUUUUUUUAUAUUUUAAUUAUAAUUUUUAUGGUAAUUGAAGAUAUAUUCUUCUAUUCUGUUAUUUUAUCAAUAUUAUAUCAAUCUCUAACUCUAUGGGUGAAAAAGAAAAGAAAAAAGAAUGUAAAAAUUAUUAUUUUAUAGAAAUAAAUACCUCACGUGAUGUUGGCUCCUAUUAUUUUGGGAUCAAUUUAUAAUGUGGAUGGAGGGAAUGUGGCGCACUUUAUAGAAAUCCUCUCCUUCUCUUCCAUCUAUCACUUUAAUCCUUUCUUCCAAUGACGAAGGCAUUAGCCUUAAAUUCGAUUCUUCGAGAGUAGUAAUGUACCUCAAUCCUUCUGGAAGCAUCCUUAAACUCUCAACCUUGACCAACUCCAAUUCUCGAAGGCAUGGCAUUGCACCUUCUUCUAUUUCCCACUCCUCCAACUCAAAUAACGAAGACAUUUGAAGAUAAUCAAGUUUAGGAAAUCCAUUUUCAGAGCACACCAUUUUACUCCCAAUAUAUGCUCUUUUCAAAUGGAGAAUCCUCAAAUGACAUAGCUUUUCUAAUACCGCCAUUGGAUCUUGGCUCAGCUCACAGUCAACCAAAGUUAAUUUGACAAUAUUUGAUGGAAGAAAUUUCAAAACAUGACCGUUCGGAUGUGGCUCAUCUUUUAUCGGACCCAGUAAUUUCAGUUUGGAGAGGUGAUAAUAUUGAGAAAGGGGUUCUAAGUCUAGGUGUGAGCCAUCAGAAAAACGUAAGGACACUGACCUAAGGCGUUGCAAUUUGGCUAGCAAGAUUAGGGUAGGCUUCACAUAUUCUGCUCUGGUAAAUGCUAUUCCUAAACUCUGAAUAUUAGUCCACCUAAGCACCGCAUUAUUUUCAAUCGCCUUCUCAUCCACCUCUAUGAACUUCAAAGUUUCAAUAUUUUUUGAAGUGAACCCUUACCGCCAACGAAAUCCAUCUACGUGGAAUUUCUCAACCGAUUUUAUUACAAUAUGCCUUAAACGUUCCAACUUAAACACACCAUCUGGAAUUACAAUGUCAUCACAAAACUUGAUGUAUAAAGUGUAAAGAUUCUUCAACCUGCCAAAAGAUCGCGGCAAAAUCAUUUUGUAAUUGUAGUAUGUUGCGGAAAGGAUCGAUUCGAGAACUCCGAUAUGACUACAAGUAAAUUGACCGGAACGAAAAAUAAAGUGAACACAAGGAUUUACGUGGUUCGGCUUUAAUGCCUACGUCCACGAGCAGAGGCGAAAAGAAAUUUCACUAUAACAAGAUGAAGAUUACAAGUGUUUUACACUCAAGACACAACCCGAGAACCUCACAACUCUCAACCCCUAUAGAAAACCCGAAAGCUAAAAUCCUAGCUUUCAAAGAACAAGCUUUGCUCUCUCUUGGUUUGGGAUGAUCAAUAUGGCUAAUGAACCUCUCUAUUUAUAAGAGAGUUCAAGGACAUAAUUGUCCAAAACUUUGGCAAAGAUUUGUGGUUGAAAAUGGACACCAACAACCAUCCACUAAACCACUACCACCAACAACCCACUACCAACAACAACAAUCCACUACCAAUUUUAAGCCAUUUCUUAACAAAUCUCCACCUUGGCUUGAAAUUUACCAAGCUGAACAUCAUAGUGAAUUCCUCGAACUGGAUCACCUCUUCCAAACGCCUCUCUGGCGCUAAUCAAUCCCGAAUACCUAUCAAGUCCAAGCAAUGCUUGAACUUAUAUGCAGGGAUCACCUUAGUUAACAUAUCUGCAGGAUUCUUCUCGGUAGCAACCUUGCUGAUAACAAUGUCACCUUGCGUAACAUGUUCCCGAACAAAAUGAUAUCUGACAUCAAUGUGUUUGGUCCGUUCAUGAAACAUCUGAUUUUUAGUCAGAUGUAUGGCACUCUGGCUAUCGCAAAAUACAACAGUGAAAUCCUGUUGUAAACCCAAACUGCUUACUAGACCUUUCAUCCACAAUGCUUCUUUCACUGCUUCUGCUAACGCCAUAUAUUCCGCCUCAGUCGUAGAUAAGGCUACGGUAGACUGUAACACAGCUUUCCAACUAAUGGCUCCUCCAGAAUAAGUGAAAACAUAACCCGUCAGAGAUCUUCUUUUGUCCAGAUCUCCAGCAUAAUCAGAGUCCACAUAGCCCGUGACACUGCUAGUGCAGUCACUCUGAUCAUAUACCAAGCAUAAAUCUGCAGAACCUCUCAAGUACCUGAGAAUCCAUUUCACGGCCUGCCAGUGUUCCUUGCCAGGACAACUCAUGUAUCUGCUGACCACACUAACUGCAUGUGAAAUGUCUGGACGAGUGCAAACCAUUGCAUACAUCACGCUUCCAACUGCACUCGAGUAUGGAAUGUGAGACAUUUGCUGCUUUUCUUCAUCAGAUUGUGGUGACAACUCUGCAGAGAGUUUGAAAUGUGGUGCCAACGGAGUACUCACAGUUUUCGCUUUAUCCAUGCCGAAGCGUUGAAGAACCUUUUCAAUGUAGUUCUUCUGCGACACACGAAGCUUGCCCGCCUUGCGAUCUCUGUGAAUAUCCAUGCCCAAAAUUUUCUUGGCAGCACCCAGAUCCUUCAUCUCGAACUCACCACUCAACUGCGACUUUAACUUGUUGAUUUCCGACAUGUUUUUGGAAGCAAUUAACAUGUCAUCAACAUACAGCAACAAAUAAAUGUGCGAACCAUCUGAGAGCUUCCGAUGAUAGACACAAGCAUCAUAGUCACAUCUUGUGUAACCAUGCUGAAUCAUGAAGCUAUCAAACCGCUUGUACCACUGCCUUGGGGAUUGUUUCAAUCCAUAUAAAGACUUCUUUAAUAGACAGACAUGGUCUUCUUUACCAGGAACUGUAAAACCCUCUGGUUGACGCAUGUAGAUUGUUUCCUCGAGCUCACCAUGCAAGAACGCCGUUUUUACGUCAAGCUGCUCAAGUUCUAGAUCAGACUUGGCCACCAUGGCAAGUAAUACACGAAUGGAAGAAUGCUUUACGACUGGGGAGAAAACUUCAUUGUAGUCAAUCCCCUCUUUCUGAGUGAAGCCUUUAGCAACCAAUCGUGCCUUGAAUCUAGUUGCUUCAACCCCUAGGAUGCCUUCCUUUUUCUUGAAGACCCAUUUGCAACCAACUAUCUUCUGGUUACUUGGCGGCUUAACCAACUCCCAAGUAUGGUUCUUGUGAAGAGAUUCUAUCUCCUCACUCAUAGCAAUUGCCCACUGUGCCGACUCAUCACACGUGACAGCCUCAUUAUAACUGGAAGGUUCUAUACCAAUGGACUCCGCCACACUGAGCGCGAAAGACACCAGAUUAGCGUAACGCGGAUUUGGUUUGAUUUGUCUCUUCGUUCUUCCAGUGGCAAUGCUAUAUGGUUUUUCUUGAGGUGACUCAUCUUCAUCGGAAUCUUGCACCUCAACUUGAUCAUCCUGGACUGAAGUACCUUCCAUAGGAAUUGGAGCGUCCACCUGACACUCCACCUGCUUCUCAACACCGUGAUCUCCCAUUCUAUCUGACUCCUCCUUUUCCCGGGAAUUUGUGGUGGAUCGAAGCAUGGAUGACUCAUCAAAAGUCACAUCUCUGCUGAUGAUGAACUUGGACGAAACCGGAUCAGGACACCACAACCUGUAUCCUUUCACCCCUUGGCCGUAUCCAAGAAAUAUGCAUUUCUUCGCCCUCGGUUUGAGUUUUCCCUCAUUUACAUGAGCAUACGCAGGGCAGCCAAACACUCUUAAACCAGAGUAAUCAGCAGGAGAACCAGACCAUACUUCCUCAGGAGUCUUCAGCUCAAUAGCUGUUGACGGAGAUCUGUUAACCAAAUAACAAGCAGUAUUAACAGCUUCAGCCCAAAAUUCUUCACCGAGCCCAGCAUUUGAUCGCAUGCAACGAGCUCGCUCCAAGAGAGUUCUAUUCAUGCGUUCUGCAACUCCAUUUUGUUGUGGUGUUCGACGAACAGUGCGGUGUCUCACUAUUCCUUCAUUUUUGCAGAACUCAUUGAAUUCACCUGAGCAAAACUCCAAGCCAUUAUCCGUCCGGAAUCGCUUGAUCUUCUUUCCUGUUUGAUUUUCGAUCAAAGCUUUAAAUUGCUUGAAGUUGAUGAGAACCUCAUACUUGCUCUUCAGAAAAUACACCCAAACCUUUCUCGAGUAAUCAUCGAUAAAGGUAAGCAGAUAUCUGUAACCACCUUUAGAAAUUGUCGGAGAAGGCCCCCAAAGGUCAGAAUGGAAGUAAUCCACUGUGCCUUUUGUCUUGUGAAUCCCAGUGCUGAACUUUACCCGAGUCUGCUUACCGAAGACGCAGUGCUCACAGAAAUUCAACUUUCCUGUACACUGCCCAGACAAUAAUCCUCGUUUGCUUAGCACCGAUAAGCCUCUCUCGCUCAUAUGCCCGAGCCGCAUAUGCCAUAACUUCGUGGUGUCAGAAUCUAGAUCAUCUGAUGAUGACACUCCCGCAACACCUGUAACCGAGGAACCAUCGAGGAAGUAAAGGCCCCGCUCCAAAUUACCACGUAUCACAGUCAAAGCACCCGAGAAUACCUUGAGAACUCCACCUUCAGCAGAGUACCGAAAGCCUUUCUUGUCCAACGUACUCAAAGAGAUCAAAUUUUUCUUCAUUUCUGGAAUGUGCCGAACAUCAGUUAGAGUUCUAACAAUACCGUCAAACAUCUUUAUACGAACUGUGCCAAUCCCCAUGACUUGACAUGCGUGGUCAUUUCCCAUUAGUACUGAACCAGAAUGCUUCUCGUAUGUUGAGAAUGCAUCUUUCGAAGUACUUAUAUGAAAUGUAGCUCCCGUAUCAAGAAUCCAUCUCCCACCAGCGUAAGAGUCGGAUACUGCAAGAACGAUCUCGGCAUCACUUGAAGAAUCUGCAUCAGCUACAUUCGCACGAUCAUUUUGUUGCUCCUGUGAUUCUGAUUUCUCCUUCCUUUUCGGACAAUCUACCUUCAUGUGCCCGUACUUCUUACAGUAGUAGCACUGUAUUCUCUUCUUGGACUGCGAUCUAGGAUGGCUUUUACUUGAACUUCCACCCUUUGCCUUGGAUCUUCCUCGAGCAACCAAGCCUUCGCCUUCAUUGUUUUCGACCACCUUACCAGUGAUUUUCUUCCUCAACUCACUGGAACUUAAGGCAUUUUUCACCUCCUCUAGAGUCAGGUCAUCACGACCGUACAUCAUUGUAUCAACAAAAUUCUCAUACGAGGGAGGCAAAGAACACAAAACAAUUAUUGCUUGGUCCUCAUCAUCGAUUUUGUUAUCGAUAUUAUUCAAAUCCAUGAUAAUGGAAUUGAAUUUAUCCAGGUGCUGGGAAACAGGUGUACCUUCCUCCAUCUUCAGGGCAUAGAGUCUUUGCUUGAGGUAGAGCCGGUUCGUCAAUGACUUCGUCAUGUACUUGCUCUCUAACCGGAGCCACAAACCGGACGCGGUUUUCUCAUCCGCUACUUCUCGUAGCACUUCAUCUCCUAGACAUAGCAGAAUAGCACUAUGUGCUCUUUCUAGCAUGUCAUCCUUUUGCUCUUCCGAAAGCGUGCUUGGUAAUUUAUCUUUACCAGACAAUGCUUUUAGCAAUCCUUGUUGAACCAGCACUGCCCGCAUCUUGAUGCGCCAUAAACUGAAACUAUUUUUCCCGGUAAAUUUCUCGACAUCAUACUUAGUCGAUGAAACACUUGUAGCCAUAAUUUGGAACCUUUGAAUGAAUGAUAAUAUUUUCUUCCUGAUGUGAAAGAUCAGACAAAGCUGCAGUCACAGGGCAAUUCAGAAAAUAUUAUCACUCCUUCAACUACGCUCUGAUACCAAUUUGUUGCGGAAAGGAUCGAUUCGAGAACUCCGAUAUGACUACAAGUAAAUUGACCGGAACGAAAAAUAAAGUGAACACAAGGAUUUACGUGGUUCGGCUUUAAUGCCUACGUCCACGGGCAGAGGCGAAAAGAAAUUUCACUAUAACAAGAUGAAGAUUACAAGUGUUUUACACUCAAGACACAACCCGAGAACCUCACAACUCUCAACCCCUAUAGAAAACCCGAAAGCUAAAAUCCUAGCUUUCAAAGAACAAGCUUUGCUCUCUCUUGGUUUGGGAUGAUCAAUAUGGCUAAUGAACCUCUCUAUUUAUAAGAGAGUUCAAGGACAUAAUUGUCCAAAACUUUGGCAAAGAUUUGUGGUUGAAAAUGGACACCAACAACCAUCCACUAAACCACUACCACCAACAACCCACUACCAACAACAACAAUCCACUACCAAUUUUAAGCCAUUUCUUAACAUAGUAUAACUUCAAGUAUCUCAAAUGUUGGAGAUUACCAAUUUCAGUCGACACACGCCACCACUUAUUGCCCCAUUUUGCAAGAGUCAACACCCUUAAAAAUUUGAAGCUUCUGUAUUUUGAAAUGCAUAAAUCUGGCCAUCCCUCCUUCUGAGAAAACAACAAAGAGCGUAAUUUUGGAUGCUCUCCCUUAAAAUUCAAAUAAUAUAUCUCUCCACUAGGAUGAAUAGCAAUUCUUCGUAGCAUAGAUUAUGCCAAUGUCACUCCAGGUACAAGCGGUGGAUGUUGAAUAAUUUCCAAGAACUUCUGCUCCCUUGCUUUCUUCGUGCACAAGUCCCUCAAGAGAUCAUGUACUCGACAUGUCUCCACAUUUGUUCCUGUAUAGUCUCGCCUGCUAACUUGAACCAAGCUCCUAUCUAUAAGCUCUUCUAGGAAUAUUUCGCCUAAAUCCUCCAUGAAGAAUUCUUCGUUUUCCGGAAUGAAACCUUCAGCGAUCCAUAAACGAAUGAGUUCUUUUUUCGGUAUCUCCCAAUCUUCUGGAUAAUGACUAAGAUACAAAAAGCAGGGUUUUAAAGGAUAAGGCAAGUCAUUGUAGCUUGAAACCAAAAUUCGGUUCACUGCACCAUAUUGACGAUCUUGGUGUGGGAGCUCAUUUAAGUGUCCAUGGAUGUUUUUAUGAACCAUCUCCCUUGAGCCACGGACUGUUUUGUUGCCAGCAAGCAACCCAACACAACAAUUGCUAAAGGCAAGCCUCCACAUUUUUUCACCAUCUCUUUUCCAAGCUUCACAAAUUCUUCUGAGCAGCAUUGAGAACCCAUUUUGCUCCGUGGGAAUGCUUUCUUACACAGAAGAUUCCAACUUUCAUCAUCCGUAAGAAAUGAGAGCUCCAUGGGAGUGUUGCAAGAAUCGGCUCGUGAAGCCACAUUCCUGUUGCGUGUUGUGAACAAUAUUUUGCUUCCCUUUCUUCCUCGUGGAAAAGCAGGUUUAAGAAUAUCCCAGUCCUCGCUUCUCCAAAUAUCAUCGAGGACCACCAAAUACCGCUUUUCUUUCAAAGCAUCAAAAUGCGUUCUCCUCAGCUCAAUCUCGUCCAUUUUCUCAAUUUUCUCUCGUUCAUCGUUAGAAGGAGAGAGAACUUUCUUCAAGACACUAAGCAAAACUUCUCUCGGCUUACAUUGUUGAGAGAUAGAAAACCAAGCCAAGAAAUCAAAAUGGCGUCUCACAUCAACAUGAUUAUAUACUUUUCUGGCAAGAGUUGUCUUACCGAGGCCCCCCAUUCCGACUAUGGGAACCACGGCGUGGGGUCUAUCUUCUUCAAACAUCAACAUGGUCAUGACAUCCUUCGUGCUAACUUCCAAGCUAACAACGUCCUCUUCCUCGACAUGUGAGUAUGUCCUUCUAAACUGUUGCUGCACCUUGAAAAUUGAGCUAGAGCCUUCUCCAUCAUCGGGUAUUUCAAAAGCUGGAAGAUUCUCGGAAAUGUUUUGGAGCUUGGUCUUGAUUGCUUUGACCUGCAACCCAAUUUUGUUCAGAUGAUAAGGUUUGGUGAAAAUGGAGGUGAAUCUCUUGACAAUCCCUUGAAAACCUCGUUGAUAUGCUGUUUUAAGAAUAAAAGAGUCGAUGACAUCUUCAGCAUCAUAAGCAAGAUUUCUGAUUUCCGACACCCGAUUCUGGAAACGCGCAUCUUGUUCAAGAUUGCGAUCCGCGUCCUUCAAGAAACACUGCAUUCGCUUCAGUUCAGCCCUUAGGCUCUCAACUUGAUCUUUUACAUCUUUGAGGAAGACAGCUUCAUGGAUGAGUAAAUCUGAAAUUCUUUCAACAGCUAAGGACACAAUAGCCUCUUCCAUUUCUCCUGCUGGUCCAGAACAGAUUCCACAAACUGAUCUGCAAGUAUUAGUAGAAUAUUUUAUGUAUUAGUGGAGAAGUAUUUCUCUUUAUCAGAAGUUUUGAAGAGCUGUUUUUGGGUGUGAGGUUGGUAAUUACUGUUCUUUGGACAGCAAAUAGCUAAACUUAUUAUUAUUAUUAUGGAACGUAACUUUUUUUAAAUAAAAUAACAUAUAUUCAAACUUAACAUGUGGAUAACCCUUGUUCUAAAUUAGUUGAAGCGAUCUUGUUUCAAUUUUAAACACUUCAUAUUUCCUUAAUGCCAUCGACUAACCACAUAACUAAUUACUAUUAGCAUCUUUAAUGACUCCUCCAAUUGCAACCGAGUGAGCGCUAGACGAAAUUGCACCAUCUGUAUUAAGUUUAAUCUAACCACUUUCCGGAACUAACCAUUUUGAAUAAAAAGCCAUAGAAUUCGAAUGGAACAUAGCCAUUGAGAGCGGUGAAUAACUUCUUUACCAACUGAUAUCUAUAUCUACCACAUCCUGAACAGAGCUAUAACUAUCGGAAAGCACAAACAUAUUCUUGUUUUUCUAUAAUAACCAAAAUAUUUUUAUUGAUUAAUAAUAAUAUUUAUAAAUAAGCUAUAGAGUGAAUCAAAUUUACUUUGAUAUCAAUAGAUGUUGAUUUAAUAAUGAAAAAUUCAUAACAAUUAUAAAAUAAUUUCUUCCAAUUAAAAAGCAAUUUUUAAAAAGGACAAAAAGAAAACUCGCUUUUUUUUCUUAUAUCUUUUUAAGAAAGAAAAGGUUAGGUGGACACAAAAUUCCAAAAGCACAAGAGAUUUUCCACAUUGAAAACAAAAGCUGUUUUCAAUUUCCACACUGGAUUCCACACAAAAUCGAUCAAGUAAAAUGGCAUGUGAAGAAAAGUUAUAAUCACUCUCAUUAGUAGGCCAACCCUCAUAACAGUCAUUUCUCAUAACUGAUUGGAUAAGGGUGAGUUUAGAUCGGCGAUUUAUUUAUUUGCUGUUAGUGUAAAAACAGUGGUGGCGAUGAGAUUAAAUACUGUAGCAAUACUGUAGCGUAAGAUAAAAUGUAAGUUAAUCACACUGCACCGCACUGCAUUGCACCUAAUCGCCUAUCCAAACCCACCUGAAGACCAAAAGAAAAAAGGUUUGUUACUUGGGUAAAUUAUACUUAAGGUCACUAAAUUGUUAAUAAAUUUAUGUUUUGAUCAUUUAACUUUAAAAGUAAUAAAAUGAUGAUUAAACUAUUUGAAGGUUUUUAUUUUAGUCACUGAUCUAUUCAACAAUUUUUAUUUAAGUCAUUAGAGUACUAUUAGUUUUUUUUAAAAAGUCUGUCUAGCUAGGUUAAAGCGACAAUUCGAUGAAUGGUACAAUGGAUCAAUACUCAUCCAUGAGUAGAAUAACAUAUACUAGAUCAAGUCAAUUUGAUGGUUGGUGCCGAAGAACGGAAAACAAAACUAUUUAGAUUUGGAUUCGUAGAUACGUGACAUUUGAAAUUGUUUCAUGAAAAAAAAAACUUAAACUAUAGAAAAGCAGGGGUAGAAGAGUUAGCGGAUAAACAAUGAAGGCCAUAUAUAUAGUAGUGAUUUUAACAACUUAAUGACUUAAAGAAUACUUUUGAAUAAUUUAGUGACAAUUUUGUAACUUUUUAAUAUUAAAUGACUAAAACAUAAACUUACUAGUAGUUUAAUGAAUUUGAAUUUAGUUUACUCCAAUUAUUUAUCAUUUUUACUGUGUUGUUUUUUGAUACAUUACCUAAAUUACCCAUCAGUAAACUUCACAAUUCCAAAAAGUGAAGGAACGCGUUUAUUAACGUUCAAACCCAUGUCCUUCAAUUCUUUUUUGCCCGGCCAAUAUAAAAAUUUUAUCCAGAACGAAAGGACGACUUGGAAAACAACAGUACAAAAGAAUGUUGAAAGAAAAUAGGAAAAAAAUUGAGAAAAUAAAACAAUCACGAUUUUUUUUUAAUUUUAAUGGUGAAAAAAAAGGUUUUAAGAAGAGAAAUUUAUUUAUUUGAGGGAGUUCCAUAUAUAAUUUAAAUUUAGAAUUUCAAAGUUCAUAACAACUCAAUCUUAUCCGUGAAAAAAUAGUUGUUCAAUAAUUUUUACUUGGUUUGUUCCUACAACCGUUAUAUUAGAGUUUAUCAUGUAUGGAUCCAUGUUUGUUCUUCUUUUAGGGUGGGUUCGGAUGGGCAGUAGAGUACGGUGCAGCGGUGCAAUACGUUUGGUUUAUUUUUGUCUCACGUUAAAGUGUCGUUACAGUAUCUAAUCUCACCGCCACCUCUAUUAUUACACUAACACUAGGUAAACGCACCGCUCAUCUAAACGCACCAUUAAUUUAUCACAUAUGAUCGUCCCUUUCCUUUCCCUUUUAUAGAUAGUAAGAGGUGUUUAUUGGUUCGAAUUAAGUUUAUGUUUAUUUAAAAUUGAUCUAGUUUAGUAACUUAUUUUGUUAUGUCCAUUUAUAUUUAUAACAGGCAUAUGUUAGUCUAUUUUAAACCUAUAAUUUUUGAAUAUAUAUUAUUAUUAAUUUAAUAUUUAAUAUUUUUAAUAAUAUUUUUUAUUAAAAUUGAAAUUUAUACAAUAUUUUUUAUGUUUAAAUAAAAUUUAUACAAAACUCUAAAGUGGGUUAGGUUUAGAGGUGAUCAUGGGUUGGGCUACUUAGCCCGACCCGACGGCCCGUCCGAAAAAUAAGAGGGUUCGGGUAAAAAUAUAGGCCCGAAAUAUGAGUUUGGGCAAAAAAAGAUGCCCUUUUUCUAAAUGGGCUAGGCCUCGAGGUAAAACUUUUUUGGCCCGAGCCCAACCCAAAUUAUAUAUUAAAUAUAAAUUUGUUAUUUUUAAUCAAACAUACAUCUAAUUCUAGUUGGUUGAUUAUAUUUUACAGGUUUUUUAUGCUAUUUUAGUGUUGUAAAAUUUAAUAUGGGUAUGGUGGAAUCAAGUUUUUUAUUUUUAUUUUUACCUUAGUCCAUUUUUUAGAUCUUGUUUUUUUUUUCUUUUGAGAAAUAAAAAUAGAUGCCAUGAAACUUGAAAAUUAAAUACAACCUCUGCAUGGGUACUACGCAUCCUACUCUCCUACAUCCGUUAAUCGGUGGAUUAGUUCUUAAUUAAUGCAAAAGUUGUAUCAUACUCAAUUCCUACGGGACUUUAAUCAUCCGGCCUAAAAGAAACAAAGAGACAAUCUAAAAGAAUCAAACCCUAAAAAUCAACUACAUCCUAAUUUUUAGGGAAAAAAAAACCCUAUCAAUUUCUCCAACUACAUCCGGACUUUAUUCAGUUUUUUUAUAUAUAUAAGAUGGACGUUUGAGCUUAAAUAAAUAAUUGAACUCAUAAAUAGAGGCUUUUUUUAUAAAAAUAACUCAAAAAUUUUGAUUAUUUAUGAAAUUAAUCUAUUUUUUUAUUUAACAUGUAAAUGAUCUAAAAUCUGUGGUAAAAGUUGGUGGAGUCAAAGAGUUUGACGUCACCAACAUACCACGUCAGUAAUCCAGAUAAAAAUUUAUUUUUUUGGUAGAACCAUGUAAAAUGACGUCACCUGUAUAAAUAAUAAAAAAAUACAGCUAUUUUUAAAAAAAUUGGGGGACCUUAAAAAAACUUUUUUUUUUCCUGGUAAAGCUAAAUAAUUUGACGCUACCAAUUUCUAAAAUUACCUGCAUCAUCCAUUUUUGAAAUGUCGUUAUUUUAUGUCAUUUAUGUAUUUAAUAAAAAUAAAUAAUCAAAUUUUUUAAAUUAUUUUUUAUAAAAAAGCCUUAAUAGAUAAUUCAUCGAUUACCAAAUCAAUCAACCUAUUCAAUCAAACAAGACAGGUUUUAGCCUCACUCGGAAAAGCCACAGUCCACUCCCGUAGAGCAGCCAAAACAUAUUUAAUUAUUCAAAAGCCGUGUGCCGUUCGACUAAAACAAAUUUCCAAAUCAAGAAGCAAUUUUUUAAAAUAAAAACAAAAUUGCUUGUAGAAAAAGCUUUAGGUGGACACAAAAUUCCAAAAGCGCCAACAGAUUUUCCACACAUUGGGAAUAAAACUUGUUUGCAAUUUCUACAUUGGCAGCCAUACAAUAAAAUGGUAGGAAACUGACCCAAGGCGAUCCAAUAUGAUUAGCAACAGAAAGACUUAAUAUCUUUUGAACUCUUAAAUAUUAUUCCUCAACAUUAAAUAUGAGUCAACCUAAGUGCCUCAUUAUUUUCAAUAAACUUCUUAUUUACCAUCAUGCGCUUCAAAGUUUCAAUAUUUUUUUGAAGAAAAGCUUUGGCACAGGAGAAAACAACUUUUUUAACAAGGGUAUGUAUACCAUUUCAUCACAAAUUGCCUUAAACAUUCCAACUUGAAUACUACAUUUGGAAUUACAGAGUCAUAAUGGCAUUAGAGGUACAAAGUGUGUAAAUUCUUCAACUAAUUUCCAAUAGCCCAUGGCAAGAGUAUUUUGAGUUUGCAUCUUAACCUCAAAUGAUGGAGAUUACAAAUUUCACUUGACACAUGCCACUCCUCAACAUUCCUCGUAAGUUUCAAGAAUAGAAAACUAACGUGAAAUUCAGAAAUUGAAAGGGAAAGUUUGAAACAAAAAGAAUCAACAGAGGUAGAAAAAAACUAGCAGCAACAAAACUAAUGUGAAAACAAAAGAAGAGUGGAAAACAUGGGAAAGUGGGGAAGUUGGACAUAUGGGAUGGAGAGACGUGGGAGAAUUUUGGAGAAAUAUUUUUAAUUAAUUUUUUCUUAAAAAAUAUUAUCCUAACCAACAUAAUUUUUUUUGAUAACCUAUCAAUUUAUUCAUAAUUCGAAUUUAACUAAACCGCUAACACAUGGGCAGCACAUUUAGGGAGUUCCAAAAUUAAUUUUUGCUUUAUAAGGAUUCAAACACGAGAUCUCUAAGCAAGCUGAAACUUUAUUAUUAAACUAGUAAAUUCAUUCUUAUUAAUAAUUAAUAAAAAUAAUAUAUAAUCUAAAUAUUCAAGGAUAGGGGAUGGAACAAAAAUAACAAAUUAAAAAAAAAAAAGAUUUACCGUAACUUUUGUUUCAUCAGUAUGCUUGUCUCAUAUCAGAGUAAAACUGCUUACAAAUGUGAGGCUAAGAUUUUUACGUUUCAGAAACAUGUAUAUAAAUGCUUCUCGGUUGGUCGAAAAUGAAGCAUAUAACACGGUUAUCUUAGUACAUAGAGUUCCCUGAAUUUACUACAUUUCGAUUUGUGUAACCUUAUUAAAACAAGUCUUCAAUAUGAGUCCCUACUUUGUUGUUAUUGUUUAUAGGAAGAAUAAAUUAUGUGAAACUCAACUUUCUUAAGCACCCUAACUUUUGUGAAUUUAGAUUAAAAGGGAGUUUAAUUCACAAAAUAUUUGAUUAACCUGACAAUUAGUGCAUUACUAGAUAUGUUACAGUACCGCGUUUGGUUCAAGGUAAAAGUUGAAAUAAUUCUAGACUCAAAGAUAUUUGAUUAUCGGUUUGUUCUUAGUAUAUAGUAAAUGAGUAAAAAGUUUUGAUUAAAAAAACUUUAUGGAAUUAUUAAUAUCAUUAAUUAAACAGUUAAAAAUUUUAAAAUGAUUAAUGUCGACUCUUUUUAUAAAAUAUUCGGGUGGGGAUUGGUAUAAAUCUGUUAAAAAAAUUUAAUAUUCAUCAUUCCACUUAAGUCAAGAUUAAUAUAAAUCUGUUUUAUACAUUUUGUUAUAAGAAAACGCACAUAUUUUUGUUAUGUCAUAUAAAUAUACAUGUUAUAUGUUUUGAUUAACAUUGUAUCAUCUAAUUUUUAAUUGAAAUAGUGAGUUGUAAAUUUAAAGGGGUUGUUUUACUAUUUAAAUAAUGAAUCUAACCAUUUAACAUCUAUUGAGUUAUUUAGAAUUUCUUUCUUCGGUUUAAAUUGAUUAAUUUCAAUUAAAUAGAUGCAAAUGAAGAACCAAUUAAUAAGAAGAUAAAUUUUUGAAAAAAUAAGCAAAUUGGGAGGCCGGAAGCCAGCAUUAGAUAUAUAGCAAACAAUCACUUCAUUCAAAGCUCAUACUAUAUGGCAAUCCAAUUCUUAUAAAAAAUACAUACACACACUUAAUGAAAUUAGAUAUCUGGGCAAAGUGCAUUCCAGUGCUGAUUUGGUAAACCUACAUCAAGAAAAAAAAUGGUAUGUAUAUAUCAUCAUCUCUUAUGUAUAAUAAUUAAAAAUAUGAAAUCAUAAAACGAUAUUAAAAAUUUAGUUUUUCUAGAAAUAUAUUCAAAAUUCUUACUUUUUUAUAUUUUAAUUAUAAUUUUUAUGGUAAUUAAAGAUAUAUUCUUCUAUUCUGUUAUUUUAUCAAUAUUAUAUCAAUCUCUGACUCUAUGAGUGAAAAAGAAAAGAAAAAAGAGCCUAAAAAUUAUUAUUUUAUAGAAAUAAAUACCUCACGUGAUGUUGGCUCCUAUUAUUUUGGGAUCAAAUUAUGUGGAUGGAGGGAAUGUGGCGCACUUUAUAGAAAUCCUCUCCUUCUCUUCCAUCUAUCACUUCAAUCCUUUCUUCCAAUGACGAAGGUAGUCCUCUUAAAUUCAAUUCUUGGAGAGUAGUAAUGUACCUCAAUCCUUCUGGAAACAUCCUUAAACUCUCAACGUUGACCAACUCCAAUUCUCGAAGGCAUGGCAUUGAACCUUCUUCUAUUUCCCACUCCUCCAACUCAAAUAACCAAGACAUUUGAAGAUAAUCAAGUUUAGGAAAUAUUGGAACCCACCCAUUGUUUGAAAAGUCAAAAAGGGUGGGCACUGAAAGUAGAAAGUAAAAUUGGUUGGCAAGUUGGGUUAAAAGUUGGCAUGGGAUAAUUGCAAUUUUGGUCCCUAAUUGUAUAGGGACAUUGCAAGUUGAUCCUUGAACCUCAACUAUAAAUAGGCCUAACCAUUUCUUACUUUCUUCAUCCCACACUUGCCAUUCUCUACUUAAGGCAAUUGUUCUCUCUCCCUAUUUGUAAACUUUCACUUGUAUUUUUGGAGUGAAAUAUAUUUGGUAGUGCCCGAGGACGUAGGCAAAAUUUGCUGAACCUCGUUAAAAUUCUAGUGUUCUUUAUUUUUGUUCUGCAUAUUUUGCAAGUGUUAUUGUAGUGAUUUAUUGUGCUAUUAAAUUACGAUAGAGGGAUAUUCUGGCUAGGAAAGAUCUGGUAUGUAAGCGAUCCUCGUGAUCCACCUCUCUUUCUUGGGAAUUGAACUUAGUGUGAUUUUUCAAUACAAUAAUUUUACUCUUUCACACGCUUCCGCGCAACAAUUGGUACCAGAGCCAGGUUCGUACUUGGGGAAUACGACCGUUUACGGUACUAUUCACGUAUACGGUACUAUUCACGUAUACAGUACUAUUCACGUAUACGACACUAUUCACGUAUACGGUACUGUUCACGUAUACAGUAGUUGGGAUUGAGGAGAAAAAUGGCAGCAGCAUCGUCAUCAGCAAGGACUACUGUGACAAAUGCAAAAUUUGAAGUAGAGAAAUUUGACGGUACCAAUAAUUUUGGUAUGUGGCAGUGUGAGAUCCUGGAUGUCUUAUGUCAGCAAGAGCUGGAUAUAGCCCUUGAAGAAAAACCUGACAAGAUGGAUGACAAGGAGUGGGCCAAGAUCAAUAGACAGGCGUGUGGUACAAUCCGCCUAUGUUUGGCCAAAGAGCAGAAGUACUCCGUCAUGAGGGAGACAUCAGCGAAGAAGCUGUGGGAUACAUUGGAAGAAAAGUUUCUAACGAAAAGUCUUGAAAAUAGGCUUUAUAUGAAAAAGAAACUUUUUCGGUUCACGUAUGCACCCGGUAUGUCGAUGAAUGACCAUGUGAACUCAUUCAAUAAAAUUUUAGCAGACUUGCUAAAUUUGGAUGAGAAAUUUGAAGAUGAAGACAAGGCAUUAUUGUUGUUGAAUUCCCUUCCUGAUGAAUAUGAUCAUCUUACCACCACAUUGCUUCAUGGGAAAGAUUCAAUCACAUUUGAUGCAGUCUGUAGUGCGUUGUAUAGAUCUGAGACUCGAAAGAAAGAUAAAAGAGAUCACAGAGAUACAACUGCAGAAGUCUUAACAGUAAGAGGUCGUUCACACAGCAGCAAACCUGGUAGAAGGGGUAAGUCCAAAGGGAGACCCGCCAAAGAUGAAUGUGCCUUUUGUCGUGAGAAAGGGCAUUGGAAAAAGAAUUGUCCUAAGUUACAAAAGGGCAAGUCUAUUUCUAAUGCAUGUGUAGCGGAGCAUGAUGAGGAGUCAGACUUUAGCUUGGUUGGCAUGGCAAUCGCAUGUCAAACGGAUGAGUGGAUAUUGGAUUCGGGAUGUACUUACCAUAUGUGUCCUAAUAAGGACUGGUUUUCUAGUCUUGAAGAACUAGAAGGUGGAGUUGUUUUUAUGGGCAAUGAUAGUGCCUGUAAGACAAUGGGUGUAGGUACAAUCAAAUUGAAGAACCAUGACGGCUCAAUCCAAGUUCUGACAGAUGUUCGCUAUGUACCCAGCUUGAAGAAAAAUCUCAUCUCAUUAGGGGCCCUAGAAUCUAAAGGGCUCACAAUCACUUUGAGAGAUGGAUUACUAAAGGUAGUAGCUGGGGUAUUGACGGUGAUGAAAGGCACUAGAAGAAAUAACUUGUACUAUUUAAAUGGAAGUACAGUUAUUGGAUCAACAUCAACAGCUUCUACGAAAGAUGCAGAUUCAGAGGCUACCAGGUUAUGGCAUAGGCGAUUGGGACAUGCUGGUGAAAAAGCUUUGCAGACUUUGGCGAAGCAAGGCUUGUUGAAAGGUGCAAAUUCUUGCAAAUUGGAAUUCUGUGAACAUUGUGUUCUGGGCAAGCAGACGAGGGUAAAAUUUGGUUCAACAAUUCACAAUACGAAAGGAAUUCUGGACUAUGUUCACAGUGAUGUGUGGGGACCUACCAAAGUGGCUUCUUUGGGAGGUAUGCACUAUUUUGUCACUUUUCUUGAUGAUUAUUCAAGAAAAGUAUGGGUGUAUCUAAUGAAAAGAAAAAAUGAAGUUUUGGAUGCAUUUCUGAAGUGGAAGAAGAUGGUGGAGACUCAGACAGGUCGAAAGGUCAAACGACUUCGAUCAGAUAAUAGUACUGAGUACAAAAAUGAUCCAUUUCUACAAGUAUGUCAAGAUGAGGGCAUUGUGCGACACUUCACUGUUCGAGAUACACCACAGCAGAAUGGGGUGGCAGAACGCAUGAAUCGGACUAUACUGGAGAAAGUUCGAUGUAUGUUGUCCAAUGCUGGAUUGAGCAAGGAAUUUUGGGCUGAGGCAGUUACAUAUGCGUGCCAUCUAAUUAACCGAUUGCCAUCAGCUGCAAUAAAUGGAAAAACUCCUAUGGAGAUGUGGACUGGUAAACCUGCUACUGAUUAUGAUUCUUUACAUGUUUUUGGUUCCACUGCAUAUUAUCAUGUAAAAGAAUCUAAGUUAGACCCAAGAGCAAAGAAAACAUUAUUCAUGGGUAUAACUGGUGGUGUAAAAGGAUACCGUCUCUGGUGUCCUGAUACAAGGAAGAUUGUUUUCAGUAGAGAUGUAACUUUUGAUGAAUCAACCAUGAUGAAGAACGAGGAUUCACAAAAGGAUGACAAAACCAGUAGUACUUUGCAGCAGGUGGAGUUUGAAAAGGUUAAUGAUGAUCCAGCUAAUAUUGAAAGAACAAAUGAUGAAGAAGUUUUGACCCAAGAACUUCUACAGCAACAAGAUUCAAUUGCAUAUAGGAGGCCAAGAAGAGAGAUUCGUAAGCCUGCUCGCUUUGACGAUGUGGUGGCCUAUGCACUUCCAAUUGCAGAUGAUGAUGUUCCUUCCACUUACACAGAAGCAAUAAGUAACUCUGAUGGUGUAAAGUGGAAGCAAGCUAUGAAUGAAGAAAUACAGUCUCUUCAUAAAAAUAGGACUUGGGAGUUGGUGAGACUGCCCAAGGGAAAGAAGGCAAUUGGAUGCAAAUGGGUAUAUGCAAAGAAGGAAGGAUUUCCUGGUAAAAAUGAAAUUCGAUACAAGGCUAGAUUGGUAGCAAAGGGUUACGCUCAGAAAGAAGAAAUAGACUACAAUGAAGUGUUUUCUCCAGUUGUGAAGCAUUCGUCUAUUCGGAUUUUGCUAGCCUUGGUUGCGCAAUACAAUCUUGAACUAGUUCAGCUUGAUGUGAAGACAGCAUUUUUACACGGUGAUUUGGAAGAGGAAAUCUAUAUGACUCAGCCUGAUGGAUUCAAUGUUGCUGAUAAAGAAAAUUGGGUUUGCAAACUGACAAAGUCGCUUUAUGGAUUGAAACAAUCUCCGAGGCAGUGGUACAAGCGAUUUGAUCAGUUCAUGAAAGGGCAAAGGUACACAAGAAGUAAAUUUGAUCAUUGCGUAUAUUUUCAGAAGCUACAAGAAGGAACUUUCAUAUACUUGCUCUUAUAUGUUGAUGAUAUGCUGAUAGCAUCUAAGAGCAAAGUUGAGAUUGAGAGAUUGAAGACUCAACUCAAUCUCGAGUUUGAGAUGAAAGAUCUAGGUGAAGCUAAGAAGAUUCUUGGCAUGGAAAUAUGUAGAGAUAGAGCUCAUGGCAGAGUUAGCUUGUCUCAGAAGCAGUAUUUGAAGAAAGUACUACAGCAGUUUGGCAUGAACGAGCAGACCAAACCUGUAAGUACCCCGUUGGCUUCUCAUUUCAAGCUUUCUGCACAACUAUCUCCUUCGACGAAUACGGAACGAGAAUACAUGUUGCAAGUUCCGUAUUCUAAUGCAGUGGGUAGCUUGAUGUAUGCAAUGGUGUGUACAAGACCCGACAUUUCACAGGCAGUUAGUAUAGUGAGCAGGUAUAUGCAUAAUCCUGGAAAAGGACAUUGGCAAGCUGUGAAAUGGAUUCUACGGUAUAUUCAGAAGACCGUGGAUGUUGGAUUACUGUUCAAGCAGGAUAAUACACUUGGUAAAGGUGUUAUUGGGUACGUUGAUUCUGACUAUGCCGGUGAUUUGGACAAGCGAAGAUCAACCACCGGUUAUGUGUUUACACUUGCUGGAGGACCAAUAAGUUGGAAGUCUGCACUACAGUCUACAGUUGCAUUGUCAACCACAGAAGCCGAGUACAUGGCUGUAACAGAGGCUGUAAAGGAGGCUAUUUGGUUACAAGGUAUGGCUAAAACCUUGGGGUUGGUUCAGGAGCAUAUUAACGUGUAUUGUGAUAGUCAAAGUGCUAUUCAUUUAGCAAAGAAUCAAGUCUAUCAUGCACGUACAAAACAUAUCGACGUACGAUUCCAUUUUGUGCGGGAAAUUAUUGAAGAGGGGAAAAUUUGUCUUCAGAAGAUCAAGACUGCAAAUAAUCCCGCAGAUAUGAUGACCAAGGUGGUAACAGCAACCAAGUUCGAACAUUGUUUGAACUUGAUUAAUAUCCUGCAAGUUUAACAGUUGAAGAAGGCACUAUCAAGUAUUGUUGUCAAAGGCAGAAAGAAUUGUGUGAAGAUAAGAUUAUCCUAAUCAAAUCUUCAAGGUGGAGAUUAUUGGAACCCACCCAUUGUUUGAAAAGUCAAAAAGGGUGGGCACCGAAAGUAGAAAGUAAAAUUGGUUGGCAAGUUGGGUUAAAAGUUGGCAUGGGAUAAUUGCAAUUUUGGUCCCUAAUUGUAUAGGGACAUUGCAAGUUGAUCCUUGAACCUCAACUAUAAAUAGGCCUAACCAUUUCUUACUUUCUUCAUCCCACACUUGCCAUUCUCUACUUAAGGCAAUUGUUCUCUCUCCCUAUUUGUAAACUUUCACUUGUAUUUUUGGAGUGAAAUAUAUUUGGUAGUGCCCGAGGACGUAGGCAAAAUUUGCUGAACCUCGUUAAAAUUCUAGUGUUCUUUAUUUUUGUUCUGCAUAUUUUGCAAGUGUUAUUGUAGUGAUUUAUUGUGCUAUUAAAUUACGAUAGAGGGAUAUUCUGGCUAGGAAAGAUCUGGUAUGUAAGCGAUCCUCGUGAUCCACCUCUCUUUCCUGGGAAUUGAACUUAGUGUGAUUUUUCAAUACAAUAAUUUUACUCUUUCACACGCUUCCGCGCAACAGGAAAUCCAUUUGCAGAGCACGCCAUUUUACUCCCAAUAUAUGCUUCCUUCAAAUAGAGAAUCCUCAAAUGACAUAGCUUUUCUAAUACCGCCAAUGGAUCUUGGCUCAGCUCACAGUCAACCAAAGUUAAUUUGACAAUAUUUGAUGGAAGAAAUUUCAAAACAUGACCGUUCGGAUGUGGCUCAUCUUCUAUCCCACCCACUAAUUUCAGUUUGGAGAGGUGAUAAUAUUGAGAAAGGGGUUCUAAGUCUAGGUUUGAGCUAUCAGAAAAUUUCAAGGACACUGACCUAAGGCGUUGCAAUUUGGUUAGCAAGGUUAGGGUAAGCUUCACAUAUUUUGCUCUGGUAAAUGCUAUUCCUAAACUCUGAAUAUUAGUCCACCUAAGCACCGCAUUAUUUUCAACCGGCUUCCCAUCCACCUCUAUGAACUUCAAAGUUUCAAUAUUUUUUGAAGUGAACCCUUGCCGCCAACGAAAUCCAGAUGAGGAAUAUUUCCUAGACUUUAUUACAAUAUGCCUUAAACGUUCUAACUUAAACACACCAUCUGGAAUUACAAUGUCAUAACAAAACUUGAUGUACAAAGUGUACAGAUUCUUCAACCUGCCAAUAGAUCGCGGCAAAAUCAUUUUGUCAUUGUAGUAUAACUUCAAGUAUCUCAAAUGUUGGAGAUUACCAAUUUCAGUCGACACAUGCCACCACUUAUUGCCCCUUUUUGCAAGAGUCAACACCCUUAAAAAUUUGAAGCUUUUGUAUUUUGAAAUGCAUAAUUCUACCAAUCUCACAUUCUGAGAAAACAACAAAGAGCGUAAUUUUGGAUGCUCUCCCUUCAAAUAAACUUUCGAAUGUCUAGGAUGAAUAGAAAUUCUUCGUAGCAUAGAUUCUGCCAAUGUCACUUCAAGUUCAUACAGUGGUUGUUGAAUAAUUUCCAAGAACUUCUCCUCUCUUGCUUUCUUCGUGCACAAGUCCCUCAAGAGAUCAUGCACUCGACAUGUCUCCACAUUUGUUCCUGUAUAGUCUCGCCUGCUAACUUGAACCAAGCUCCUAUCUAUAAGCUCUUCUAGGAAUUUUUCGCCUAAAUCCUCCAUCAAGAAUUCUUCAUUUUCCGGAAUGAAACCUUCAGCGAUCCAUAAACGAAUGAGUUCCUUUUUCGGUAUCUCCCUAUCUUCUGGAUAAUGACUAAGAUACAAAAAGCAUGGUUUUAAAGGAUAAGGCAAGUCAUUGUAGCUUGAAACCAAAAUUCUGUUCACUGCCCCAUAUUGACGAUCUUGAUGUGGGAGCUCAUUUAAGUGUCCAUGGAUGUUUUUAUGAACCAUCUCCCAUUGAGCCACUGACUGUUUUGUUGCCAGCAAGCAACCCAACACAACAAUUGCUAAAGGCAAGCCUCCACAUUUUUUCACCAUCUCUUUUCCAAGCUUCACAAAUUCUUCUGAGCAGCAUUGAGAAGCCAUUUUGCUCCGUGGGAAUGCUUUCCUACACAAAAGAUUCCAACUUUCAUCAUCUGUAAGAAGUGAGAGCUCCACGGGAGUGCUCCAAGGAUCGGCACGUGAAGCCACAUUUUUUAUUCGUGUUGUGAACAAAAUUUUGCUUCCCUUUCUUCCUCGUGGAAAAGCAGGUUUAAGAAUAUCCCAGUCCUCACUUCUCCAAAUAUCAUCGAGGACCACCAAAUACCGCUUUUCUUUCAAAGCAUCAAAAAGCGUUCUCCUCAGCUCAAUCUCGUCCAUUUUCUCAAUUUUCUCUCUUUCAUCGUUAGAAGGAGAGAGAACUUUUUCAUCGUUAGAAGGAGAGAGAACUUUCUUCAAGACACUAAGCCAAACUUCUCUCGGCUUACAUUGUUGUGAGAUAGAAAACCAAGCCAAGAAAUCAAAAUGGUGUCUCACAUCAACAUGAUUAUAUACUUUUCUGGCAAGAGUAGUCUUACCGAGGCCUCCCAUGCCGACUAUGGAAACCACGGCGUGGGGUCUAUCUUCUUCAAACAUCAACAUGGUCAUGACAUCCUUCGUGCUAACUUCCAAGCUAACAACAUCCUCUUCCUCGACAUGUGAGUAUGUCCUUCUAAACUGUUGCUGCACCUUGAAAAUUGAGCUAGAGCCUUCUCCAUCAUCGGGUAUUUCAAAAGCUGGAAGAUUCUCGGAAAUGUUUUGGAGCUUGGUCUUGAUUGCUUUGACCUGCACCCCGAUUUUGUGCAGAUGAUAAGGUUUGGUGAAAAUGGAGGUGAAUCUCUUGACAAUCCCAUGAAAACCUCGUUGGUGUGCUGCUUUAAGAAUAAAAGAGUCGAUGGCAUCUUCAGCAUCAUAAGCAAGAUCUCUGAUUUCCCACACCCGAUUCUGGAAAUGCGCAUCCUGUUCAAACUUGCUAUCCGCGUCCUUCAAGAAACACUGCAUUCGCGUCAGUUCAGCCCUUAGGCUCUCAACUUGAUCUUUCACAUCUUUGAGGAAAACAGCUUCAUGGAUGAGUAGAUCUGAAAUUCUUUCAACAGCUAAGGACACAAUAGCCUCUUCCAUUUCUCCUGCUGGUCCAGAACAGAUUCCACAAACUGAUCUGCAAGUAUUAGUAGAAUAUUUUUUGUAUUAGUGGAUAAGUAUCUCUCUUUAUCAGAAGUUUUGAAGAGCUGUUUUUGGGUGUGAGGUUGGUAAUUACUGUUCUUUGGACAGCAAAUAGCUGAACUUAUUAUUAUUAUUAUGGAACGUAACUUUUUUUUAAUAAAAUAACAUAUAUUCAAACUUAACAUGUGGAUAACCCUUGUCCUAAGUUAGUUGUAUCCCUUCUAACAUCAAUCUUGCUUUAAUUUUAUACACUUCAUAUUUCUUUAAUGUCAUCGACUAACCACAUAAUUAAUUACUAUUAACAUAUUUAAUGACUCUUCCAAUUGUAAUUGAGUGAGCGCUAGACGAAAUUACACCAUCUGUAUUAAGCUUAACCUAACCACUUUCUAGAACUAACCAUUUUAAAUCAAAAGCCAUAAAAUUCGAAUGGAACAUAGCCAUUGAGGGUGGUGAAUAACUUCUCGUCCAACUGAUACCAUCUACCACAUCCUAAAUAGAGCUAUAACUAUCGAAAAGGACAAACAUAUUCCUAUUUUUCUAUAAUAACCAACAUAUUGUUAUUGAUUAAUAGUAAUGUUUAUAGAAAAAUAUAGAGUAAAUCAAAUUUAUUUUGAUAUCAAUAGAUGUUGAUUUAAUAAUGAAAAAUUCAUAACAAUUAUAAAAUAAUUUCUUCCAAUUAAAAAGCAAUUUUUUUUCUUUUUAUCUUUUUAAGAAAGACAAGGCAAGUGGACACAAAAUUCAUUAAAUUUUAAAAGUUAUAAAAUGAUAAUUGAACUAUUUAAAUAUUUUUAUUUUAGUCACUGAUCUAUUCAAUAAUUUUUAUUUAAGUCAUUAGAUUAUUAGCUUUUUUUUCAAACGUCUGAUUAGUUAGGUUAAAGCAACAAUUCGAUGAAUGGUACAAUGGAUCAAUACUCAUUGACGAGUAGAAUAACAUUUACUAGAUCAAGUCAAUUUGAUGGUUGGUGCCGAAGAACGGAGAACAAAACUAUUUAGAUUUAAAUUCGUAGAUACGUGACAUUUGAAGUUGUUUUAUUAAAAAAAAAAACUUAAACUAUAGACAAGCAGGGGUAGAAGAGUUAGCGGGCAAACAAUGAAGGACAUAUAGUAGUGAUUUUAACAACUUAAUGACUUAAAGAAAACUUUUGAAUAAUUUAGUGACAAUUUUGUAACUUUUUAAUGUUAAACGAUUAAAACGUAAACUUACUAAUAGUUUAAUGGCCUUGAAUGUAGUUUACUCCAAUUAUUUAUUAUUUUUAAUGUGUUGUUUUUUUUUACCUUACCUAAAUUACCCAUAAGUAAACUUCAUAAAUUCCAAAAAGUGGAGGAUAGUACGCGUUUAUUAAUGUUCAAACCCAUGUCCUCCAAUUCUUUUUUGCCCGGCCAAUAUAAAAUUUUAUACAGAACGAAAGGACGACUUGGAAAACAACAGUACAAAGAAUGUCGAAUGAAAAUAAGAGAAAAAAUUGAGAAAAUAAAACAAUCACGAUUUUUUUUGUAAAAUUUAAUGGUAAAAAAAAAGUUUUAUAUAAGAGGAGAAAUUUAUUUAUUUGAGGGAGUUUCAUAUAUAAUUUAAAUUUAGAAUUUCAAAACUCAUAACCGUGAAAAAAGUUGUUCAAUAAUUUUUACUUGGUUUGUUCCUACAACCGUUAUAUUAGAGUUUAUCACGUAUGGAUCCGUGUUUGUUUUUCUUUUAGAGUGGGUUUGGAUAGGCAGUAGAGUGCGGUGCAGCGGUGCAAUACGUUUAGUUUAUUUUUUAUCUCACGUUACAGUGUUGUUACAGUAUCUAAUCUCACCGUCAUCGCUAUUAUUACACUAACCGCAGGUAACCGUACCGCACAUCCAAACUCACCCGUAGUUUAUCACAUAUAAUCGUCUCUUUCCUUUCCCUUUUAUAGAUAGUAAGAGGUGUUUAUUGGUUCGAAUUAAGUUUAUGUUUAUUUAAAAUUAUCCAGUUUAAGAACUUAUUUUGUUAUGUCCAUUUAUAUUUAUAACUGGCAUAUGUUCGUCUAUUUUAAACCUGUAAUUUUUAAAUAUAUAUUAUUCUUAAUUUAAUAUUUAAUAUUUUUAAUAAUAUUUUUAUUAAAAUUGAAAUUUAUACAAUAUUUUUUAUGUUUAAAUAAAAUUUAUACAAAACUCUAAAGUGAGUUGGGUUUAGAGGUGAUCAUGGGUUGGACUACUCGUCCCGGCCUGACAGCUCGUCCGAAAAAUGGGAGAGUUUGGGUAAAAAUAUAGGCCCGAAAUAUGAGUUUGGGAAAAAAAGAGGCCCGUUUAGAAAACGAGCCGAGCCUCGAGUAAAACUUUUUUGGCCGGGCCCGGCUCGAAUUAUAUAUUAAAUAUAUAAUUUUUAUUUUAAUCAAAUAUACCUCUAAUUCUGGUUGGUUGAUUAUAUUUUGCAGGUAUUUAAUGCUAUUUUGGUGUUGUAAAAUUUAAUAUGGGUCGGGUCGGGCCGAGCCUAGCCCAUGAUCACCUCUAGUUGGCUUAGGUUUGAGAGAGUUGAAGCUUAACCAGAAUCAAGUUUUUUUUUUUUUUUUUUACUUUAGUCCAAUUUUUAGAUCUUGUUUUUUUUUUCUUUUGAGAAAUAAAAAAUAGAUGCCAUCAAACUUGAAAAUUGAAUACAACCUCUGCAUGUGUACCACACAUCCUACUCUCCUACAUCUGUUAAUCGGUGGAGUAGUUCUUAAUUAAUUGAAAAGUUGUAUCAUACUCAAUUCUUACGGGACUUUAAUCAUCCGAUCUAAAAGAAACAAAGAAUCAAACCCUAAAAAUCAACUACAUCCUAAUUUUUAGAAAAAAAGAAAAAAAAAUCUAUCAAUUUCUCCUUUAGCAAUCCACUCUUUCAUCUACCACCAUCGUUCCACCUUGAAAUAAUCUAUACUUUUAGUAUCCUUGAUGGAAAUUCUUGUAGAAAAAAAAAUCGUUUUAUUCGGUUUUUUUUUAUAUAUAAGAUUGACCUUUUAGCUUAAAUAAAUAAUUGAACUCAUAAAUAAAGGCUUUUUUUAUAAAAAUAAUUCAAAAAUUUUUAUUAUUUAUGAAAACAAUCCAUUUUUUAUUAAACAUGUAAAUGAUCUAAAACCUAUAGUAAAAGUUGGUGGAGUCAAAGAGUUUGGCGUCACCAACAUACCAUAUCAGCAAACGAGAAAAAAAAUUUAUUUAUUUUGGUAGAACCAUGUAGAACGACAUCACUUAUAUAAAUAUUAUUUUUGAAAAAUUAGAAGAAUUUAAAAAAAAUACAUUUUUUCUAAUGAAGCUAAAUAAUUUAACGCUACAAAUUUCUAAAAUUACCUACAUCAUCUAUUUUUAAAAUAUCGUUAUUUGAUGUCAUUUAUGUAUUUAAUAAAAAUAAAUAAUCAAAUUUUUUUUUAUAAAAAAGCCUUAAUAGAUAAUUUAUCAAUUACCAAAUCAAUCAAACUAUUCAAUCAAACAAGGCAAGUUUUAGGCUCAUUCGGAAAAGCCACAGUCCACUCCCGCAGAGCAGCCAUAGCAUAUUUAAUUAUUCAAAAGCCGUGUGCCGUUCGACUAAAACAAAAUUCCAAAAAUAAAAACAAAAUUGCUUGUAGAAAAAGCUUUAGGUGGACACAAAAUUCCAAAAGGGCCAACAGAUUGUCCACACAUUGGGAAUAAAACUUGUUUGCAAUAUCUACAUUGGCAGCCAUACAAUAAAAUUGUAGGAAACUGACAUUAGUAGGCCAACCCUCAUUUUCAUUUCUUCCAAUUAACAGCUAUUUGAACACCCAACAGUCGUUGCUCGUAAUUGAUAGGAUAAGAUCAAACGAAAAAAUAAUAAUUAUUUGGAUCAAUUAUAUUCAACUUCACUAAAUUAUUAUUAAAUUUAUAUUUUAAUUAUUUAACUUUAAAAAAAUUAUAAGAUAGUUAUUGAAACAUUUAACAGUUUUCAUUUAAGUCAUUAAACUAUUUAAAAUUUUUUGUUUAAGUCAUUGAACUAUUAAGUUCUUUUUUAAAAAAAAAAAGUAGUUUGGCUUUUGAGGAUCAAGCGACAAUUCGAUGAACAGUACAAUGGAUCAAUACUCAUCAACGAGUAAAAGAACAUAUAUUAGACUAAGUCAAUUUGAUGGUCGGUAUUGAAAAACUGUUUGGAUUUUAGUUCGUAGAUACGUGAUAUUUAAAGUUGUUUUAUUAAAAAAUCCUAAAUUGUAGAAGAGUAAGGGCAAAGAGUUUAUUAUUGGUGCAGGUGAUGUCAACAAUAAAUGCCAUAUAACAAAAAUUUUAAUAGUUCAAUAACAUAAAUGAAAACUUUCGAAUAAUUUAAUGACCAUAUUGUAGCUUUUUAAAAUUAAUUGACCAAAAUAGUAAUUUAGUGACCUUUAGUGUUAUUUACUCUAAUUAUUUAUUAUUUUUACUGUGUUAUUUUUUAUACAAUACUUAAAUUACUCAUAAAUAAAUUUCACAAUCCGGAUAUUACACCCUUAUUAAGGUUGAAACCCACACCCCAAAUGUUUUUUGCCCGGUUAAUAAUUUUUUUUUAUCAAAAAUGAAAGGACCACUUAGAAAAUAUAGUAUAAAGAAUGUUGAAAGAAAAUAAGAGAAAAUAGACUAGUACAAUAAACAAUAAAUAAAUUUCUAAGCUUUAAAUAUAAAUCUUUCCUUAAAAUCCAUCAACUUAAUAAAUCGACGAAGAAUCAAUUAAUGUUGAGCUUCUUUGCAGGCUUGCAUUUGGAGAUGAAAGAAAGCUCCAACCCUACUAGCAACAACAUGAAAUUGGUAUAUCAUCUUUAAUCUAUACUAAUAAUAAUGAUAAAAAAGAACUUAAAAUAGAAAUUAUGAAAUGAUACUGCAAGUUUCUUUUUAGAAAAAAACGAAAAAGAAGUAGAGAAGUGACUAUUAUUUUAGAGAAAUAAAUUUCUAAUGCACCUAUUUAGAUAUAAGCAAAUUACUGUAUUUGGAUAGAGGGAAUGUGGCCUACUUCAUAGAAAUCCUCUCCUCUUUCAUCUAUCACUUUUAUUAUUUCUUUCAAUGACUAUUAACAUUGACCAAUUCCAAUCUUCAAAGGCAUGGCAUUGCACUCCUUCAACCCUGGUAGAAAUCUAAUUUCAAGAGCAUCAAGUUGAGGAAACCCAUUGGCAAAGCAUAUAAUCUUACUCUCAUCAUAUGUUAAACUCUCUAACUUCAGAAUCCUCAAACAAGGUAACUUUUCCAACACACCCAUUGGAUCAUGGAUCAUCAUAGAGUCAUCUAAAGUUAACUUGACAAUACUUGACGGAAGAAAUUCCAAAACAUGAUGGCUCUGAUGUGGAUCUUCUUUUAUAUGCCCUAUUAACUUCAAUUUGGAGAGGUGACGACACUAAUAAAGAGGUUCCAAUAUGAAGAAUGAGUUGACUUGUCAUGGUUCAUAUAGUCAAGCAAACACAUGUACAAUGACCCAAGGCGAUCCAAUAUGAUUAGCAACAGAAAGAUAGACUUAAUAUCUUUUGAACUCUUAAAUGUUAUUCCUAAACAUUGAAUACGAGUCAACCUAAGUGCCUCAUUAUUUUCAAUAAACUUCUUAUUUACCAUCAUGCGCUUCAAAGUUUCAAUAUUUUUUUGAAGAAAAGCUUUGGCACAGGAGAAAACAACUUUUUUAACAUGGGUAUGUAUACCAUUUCAUCACAAAUUGCCUUAAACAUUCCAACUUGAAUACUACAUUUGGAAUUACAGAGUCAUAAUGGCAUUAGAGGUACAAAGUGUGUAAAUUCUUCAACUAAUUUCCAAUAGCCCAUGGCAAGAGUAUUUUGAGUUUGCAUCUUAAGCUCAAAUGAUGGAGAUUACCAAUUUCACUUGACACAUGCAACUCCUCAACAUUCCUCGUAAGUUUCAAGAAAAGAAAAACUAACGUGAAAUUGAGAAAUUGAAAGGGAAAGUUUGAAACAAAAAGAAUCUACAGAGGUAGAAAAAAACUAGCAGCAAAUGUGAAAACAAAAGAAGAGUGGAAAAGAUGGGAAAGUGGGGAAGUUGGACAUGGGAUGGAGAAACGUGGGAGAAUUUUGGAGAAAUAUUUUUAAUUAAUUUUUUCUUAAAAAAAUAUUAUCCUAUAACCAACAUAAUUUUUUUGAUAACCUAUCUAUUUAUUCAUAAUUCAAAUUUAACUAAACCGGGAGCUCCAAAAAUAAUUUUUGCUUUACAGGGAUUCAAACACGAGAUUUCUAAGCAAGUUGAAACUUUAUUAUUAAACUACUAAAUUCAUUCUUAUUAAUAAUUAAGCAAAAAUAACAUAUUAGAAUAUAGGAAGUUGUUAAUUAGUUAUGAGUCUGGUAAGGUUGUUGUGAAGUAUAGACUGAAUAUUGACCCAAAUGCAAAUGGGGUUCCGUCGUCUAAUUUUGUUCAAGUUGAUCAAAGUGAUCCCGGCUCACCUGAACCGAUUGGCGUUGAUAGAGUUUUACGAUUUACCAAACCGCGUGCUCAGGUUUGACUGGGUUCGAACCAUGUAUUGGGCUUCCUCGGCUAGGGGACUUACAUGCAUCUGAGUAUUCCGAUCCUUCAGAAUCUGGCUCUCAUGUCAAUACUGCUCAACUUGGGUUUGGUACUAGUAAAGAUGACCCAUACGUUCCAGUGCAAGGUGGCACCACAACUUGGUAUCCUGACUCGGGAGCUAGUCAUCAUGUCUGUCGUGAUGUGUCAGCUUUACAUGAUGUCACACCAUAUUCAGGUACGUCAUCUCUUUUAAUGGGUGAUGGUACUCCUGCGGUAAUUUCGUCAAUUGGUACUGCUAUUUUACAUACUCAAUAUAAGUCGUUGCGAUUAUCAAAUGUCUUAUGUGUGCCAAGUAUACGGAAAAACCUCUUAUCCGUCUCACAGUUUGCUCGUGAUAAUGGUGUGUUUUUUUAGUUUCAUCCUAACCAUUGAGUUAUUAAGGAUACGGUGACUCGGGAGACAUUGCUGACGGGCCGCAUUCAUGAUGGACUUUAUCACUUUUCUGUGCCAGUGGGGUCUACUCCGUCUACGGUUGCUCCAUUUGUUGCUCAUUCGCAAGUUCCACAGUAGUUUCAAAUAAUAAUGUGUUUGCUUUAUGGCAUAAUCGUUUAGGCCACCCAUCAACUUCUGUGGUCAAAACAGUUUUAAAUAAAUGUAAUGUUGCUUCAAGUAAAAAUAGUUUGGAUGGUAUAUGUACUGCAUGUCAAAAAGGCAGGUCACAUAAGUUGCCCUUCUCCCCUUCGACUACUAGCUAUCGUCCUUUUGAGUUGGUUGUGUCUGAUCUUUGGGGUCCUGCACCUGUUGCAUGUGGUGAUAAAAGAUAUUAUGUUUCAUUUAUUGAUAUGAGUACUCGGUUUACUUGGGUUUAUCUUUUACGUCAAAAAGCUCAAGCACUAGAAUGCUUUACUCAGUUUCAACAGUUAAUUAAGACACAGUUUGGCAAGUCUAUUAAGCAGUUCCAGAGCGAUUGGGGAGGCGAAUACCGUGGUUUUACGUCUGUCUUAGAAUCUCAAGGAAUCAUACAUCGACUAACGUGUCCGUAUACUUCAGAACAAAAUGGAGUGGCUGAGCGUAAGCAUCGCCACAUUGUUGAAGUAGGUAUUACAUUGUUGGCUCACGAAAGUUUGCCUCUGGAAUACUGGGGGUAUGCGUUUUGCUGUGCAGUUCAUCUUAUAAAUCGACUUCCUACUGUUGUACUUCAAGACAGUUCUCCGUUUAAGGCACUAUAUGGACAUGAUCUGACCUAUGAUCAUCUUCGAGUGUUUGGCUGCUGUUGUUAUCCGUACUUACGUCCGUUUGUAAGGAAUAAAUUGGACUUUCGGUCUCAGCCGUCUACAUUGUUGGGAUACAGUCCUCGUCACAAGGGGUAUCAAUGUCUUUUACCAGAUGGUAAGGUUAUAAUAUCAAGGCAUGUGGUAUUUGAUGAACAGAGAUUUCUGUUUGCUGAGACUAUUCCAGACAAGUCUAUGUUGACGACCACUCAGACUAGUUCGACUACUGUUCCUUUCGUGUGGCCGUCUUAUUCCUCAACUCUUGAGCCUUGCAUGAUGACACAGUCUUUACAAGGGUUGCAAUCUCCGUCUGCUGAUCCUGCAUUAGGUGUUAAUUUAGAGCAGUCUCAGUCUCGUGAUUCUUCAGCUGAUAUCGGGACUGGGUCGGGUAAUCUCCCAGUUCAUGGUUCGUCAGCUAAUGAUGGGACUGAAUUGAGUGAUCCUCCAGCAGUGCAUGGCUCGGGAUCAUCAAGUGAUAAUUCUCAUUCUACUAUGAGAAUGUCUGCAGGUGUUUGAUCGGCAUCUGAUAGUCAGAUUAGUAGGCCACCUAUGGGUAAUACUUACCCAAUGGUCACUCGAGCUAAAGCGGGGGUUUACAAACCUAAGGUUUUAAAUGUUGAAGCUGUUGAACCGACUACGAUUGAAGAAGCUCUGGCUACUGUUGAGUGGCGCGAUGCUGCGCAAGCUGAGUAUGAUGCUCUUAUGUGUAAUUCCACAUGGGAGCUUGUUCCCACUCCGUCUAAUCGUAAGAUCAUUGGGUGCAAAUGGUUGUUCAGAAUCAAGAAGAAUUCUGAUGGUACUAUUGCUCGACAUAAGGCUCGUUUAGUCGCAAAAGGAUGCUCCUAAGUUCUAGGUUGUGACUUUAAGGAAACGUUUAGUCCAGUGGUCAAACCGGCUACUAUCAGAGUUAUUUUCUCUAUUGCUGUGUCUAAGUGGUGGUUGCUUCGGCAAGUUGAUGUGAAUAAUGCGUUUCUAAAUGGCGAUCUGGACACUGAAGUUUUUUUGCAUCAACCUCCUGGUUAUGUUCAAUAUGACUCACAUGGUAGACCUUUGGUGUGCCGUCUGAAGAAAGCGUUGUAUGGUCUUCGUCAGGCUCCUCGUGCCUGGUUUGAGAAGUUAAAAGGAUUUCUACUCUCUGUGGGGUUUGUGGUAUCAAAGUCUGAUGCUUCUUUGUUUGUUCGAGUGGUAUCAGCUUCAACAUUGUAUGUUUUGGUAUACGUUGAUGAUAUCAUUAUUACUGGUGAUGUGCCUUCUGUUAUAGAGUGGUUUGCUAAGUUGCUGAAUAAUAAGUUCUCACUUAAGGACAUGGGUGAUCUCCAUUAUUUUCUUGGGAUAGAGGUUACUCGUUCUUCCUCCGGUUGUCUUCAUCUAUGUCAGAAGAAGUAUAUUCGUGAUAUUCUCAUAAGGUGCUCGAUGGAAAAUGCGAAGAGUGUUCACACUCCGAUGAUUAGUUCCUCUAUCUUAACUAGAGAUGGUGGGGAACGUUUGGAGGAUCCAACUGAAUAUAGGAGUCUUGCAGGAGCAUUACAGUAUGUUACUCUUACGCGGCCUGACGUUGCGUAUGCUGUAAAUCGAAUAUGUCAGUUUAUGCAUUGUCCCACUUCCAUACAUAUGACCGCUCUGAAGCGGAUUUUGAGGUAUCUAGGUGGAACGAUUGAUUUUGGGAUUGUAUUUCGUCCGUCUACCUUUUUGUCAUUAGUUGGGUAUGCUGAUGCAAACUGGGGUUUAGAUUUUGAUGACCGGAGAUCUACUACUAGAUACUGUGUGUAUUUUGGACAUUCUCCUGUCUCGUGGUGUACGAAAAAAUAGCAGGUUGUUGCUUGGUCUACUGCUGAGGCAGAGUACCGAAGUCUUGCUGCAGUUACUAGUGAGGUUACGUGGCUUUUAUCGUUACUUCAAGAGUUGCAUGUUCAGUCUACUAGCAUUCCUGAUAUUUGGUGUGAUAGUUCUGGGGCGGUUGCAGUUGCUGCUAAUCCUGUUCUUCAUUCCAAGUUUAAGCACGUUGAGUUAGAUUUAUUUUUCGUUCGUGAAAAAGUAGCUAAUGGUAUUAUUGCUGUUGGCGAGGUUCUAGCUUGUGAUCAAGUUGUUGAUGUUCUUACUAAACCGCUUUCACUUUCGAAUUUUACUCGAUUUCGGAGUUUUCUACAGGUGUUACCUGUGGAGAAGAUGGAUGAAUAUUAGAAUAUAGGAAGUUGUUAAUUAGUUAUGAGUCUGGUAAGGUUGUUGUGAAGUUUAGACUAGUCAACAAAGUCUAUAAAUACUGUAAGUUGAGAAUUCAGAAGUAAGCAAUUUUGAAUACAAGAGAAAGAAAUUCAUUUUAUCCUCUCUUUUAUUUCUGUUUGGCUAGUUCUUUCAUAACAUAUAAUCGAAAUAUUCAAGGAUUGGGGACGGAACAAAAAAUAACAAAAAAUUUUUAAAAAAAAGAUUUGCCGUAACUUCUGUUUCAUCAGUAGGCUUGUCUCAUAUAUAUCAGAGUAAAACUGCUUACAAAUGUGAGGCUAAGAUUUUUACGUUUCAGAAACAUGUAUAUAUAAUGCUUCUUGGUUGGUCGAAAAUGAAGCAUAUAACACGGUUAUCUUAGUACAUAGAGUUCCCUGAAUUUACUACAUUUUGAUUUGUGUAACCUUAUUAAAACAAGUCUUCAAUAUCAGUUGCUACUUUGUUGUUAUUGUUUAUAGGAAGAAUAAAUUAUGUGAAACUCAACUUUCUUAAGCACACUAACUUUUGUGAAUUUAGAUUAAAAGGGAGUUUAGUUCACAAAAUAUUUGAUUAACUUGACAAUUAGUGCAUUACUAGAUAUGUUAAAGUACCGCGUUUGGUUCAAGGUAAAAGUUGAAAUAAUUCUAGACUCAAAGAUAUUUAAUUAUCGGUUUGUUCUUAGUAUAUAGUAAAUGAGUAAAAAGUUUUGAUUAAAAAAAACUUUAUGGAAUUAUUAAUAUAAUUGAUUAAACAGUUAAAAAUUUUAAAAUGAUUAAUGUCGACUCUUUUUAUAAAAUAUUCGGGUGGGGAUUGGUAUAAAUCUGUUAAAAAAAUUUAAUCAUCAUUCCACAUAAGUCAAGGUUAAUAUAAAUCUGUUUUAUAUAUUUUGUUAUAAGAAAACGCACAUAUUUUUGUUAUGUCAUAUAAAUAUACAUGUUAUAUGUUUUGAUUAACAUUGUAUCAUCUAAUUUUUAAUUGAAAUAGUGAGUUGUAAAUUUAAAUCGGUUAUUUUACUAUUUAAAUAAUGAAUUUAACCAUUUAACAUCUAAUGAGUUAUUUAGAAUUUCUUUCUUCGGUUUAAAUUGAUUAAUUUCAAUUAAAUAGAUGCAAAUGAAGAACCAAUUAAUAAGAAGAUAAUUUUUUAAAAAAAUAAGCAAAUUGGGAGGCCGGAAACGAGCCUUAGAUAUAUAGCAAACAAUCACUUCAUUCAAAGCUCAUGGUAUAUAGCAAUCCAAUUCUUAUAAAAAUACAUAUACACACUUAAUGAAAUUAGAUAUCUCGGGAAAGUGCAUUCUAGUGCUGAUUAGAUAACCUGCAUCAAGAAGAAAAAUGGUAUGUACAUAUCAUCAUCUCUUAUGUAUAAUAAUUAAAAAUAUGAAAUAAUAAAAUGAUACUAAAAUUUUAGUUUUUCUAGAAAAUGAUUCGAAAUUCUUAUUUUUUUAUAUUUUAAUUACAAUUUUUAUGGUAAUUAAAGAUAUAUUCAUCUAUUGUAUUAUUUUAUCAAUAUUAUAUUAAUCUCUAACUCUAUGGGUGAAAAAGAAAAGAAAAAAGAAUGUAAAAAUUAUUAUUUUAUAGAAAUAAAUACCUCACCUGAUGUUGGCUCCUAUUAUUUUGGCAUCAAAAAAUGUCGGAUGAAGGGAAUGUGGCGCACUUUAUAGAAUUCCUCUCCUUCUCUUCCAUCUAUCACUUUAAUCCUUUCUUUCAAUGACGAAGAUAUUCCUAUUAAAUUCAAUUUUUGGAGAGUAGUCAUGUAUCUCAAUCCUUCUGGAAGCAUCCUUAAACUCUCAACAUUGGCCAACGUCAAUUCUCGAAGGCAUGGCAUUGCACCUUCUUCUAUUUCCCACUCCUCCAACAUAAUUAACAUAAUUAAAAGAUAAUCAAGUUUAGGAAAUCCAUUUGCAGAGCACACCAUUUUACUCCCAAUAUAUGCUCCCUUCAAAAAGAGAAUCCUCAAAUGACAUAGCUUUUCUAAUACCGCCAUUGGAUCUUGUCUCAGCCCACAGUCAAACAAAGUUAAUUUGACAAUAUUUAAUGGAAGAAAUUUCAAAACAUGACCGUUCGGAUGUGGCUCUUCUUUUAUCGGACCCAGUAAUUUCAGUUUGGAGAGGUGAUAAUAUUGAGAAAGGGGUUCUAAGUCUAGGUGUGAGCAAUAAAAAAAACAUAAGGACACUGACCUAAGGCGUUGCAAUUUGGCUAGCAAGAUUAGGGUAGGCUUCACAUAUUCUGCUCUGGUAAAUUCUAUUCCUAAACUCUGAAUAUUAGUCCACCUAAGCACCGCAUUAUUUUCAGCCGCCUUCUCAUCCACCACUAUGAACUUCAAAGUUUCAAUAUUUUUUGAAGUGAACCCUUGCCGCCAACGAAAUCCAUCUACGUGGAAUUUCCCAACCGAUUUUAUUACAAUAUGCCUUAAACGUUCUAACUUAAACACACCAUCUGGAAUUACAAUGUCAUCACAAAACUUGAUGUAUAAAGUGUACAGAUUCUUCAACCUGCCAAUAGAUCGCGGCAAAAUCACUUUGUUAUUGUAGUAAAACUUCAAGUAUCUCAAAUGUUGGAGAUUACCAAUUUCAGUCGACACAUGCCACGGCUGAUUGCAGUCGCUCCUUUUUGCAAGAGUCAACACCCUUAAAAAUUUGAAGCUUUUGUAUUUUGAAAUGCACAAUUCUACCAAUAUCUCAGAAUGAGAAAACAACAAAGAGCGUAAUUUUGGAUGCUUUCCCUUCAAAUAAACUUUCGAUUCACUAGGAUGAGUAGAAAUUCUUCGUAGCAUAGAUUCUGCCAAUGUCACUUCAAGUUCAUGCAGUGGUUGUUGAAUAAUUUCCAAGAACUUCUCCUCUCUUGCUUUCUUCAUGCAAAAGUCCCUCAAGAGAUCAUGCACUCGACAUGUCUCCACAUUUGUUCCUGUAUAGUCUCGCGUGCUAACUUGAACCAAGCUCCUAUCUAUAAGCUCUUCUAGGAAUUUUUCGCCUAAAUCCUCCAUCAAGAAUUCUUCGUUUUCCGGAAUGAAACCUUCAGCGAUCCAUAAACGAAUGAGUUCUUUUUUCGGUAUCUCCCAAUCUUCUGGAUAAUGACUAAGAUACAAAAAGCAGGGUUUUAAAGGAUAAGGCAAGUCAUUGUAGCUUGAAACCAAAAUUCGGUUCACUGCACCAUAUUGACGAUCUUGGUGUGGGAGCUCAUUUAAGUGUCCAUGGAUGUUUUUAUGAACCAUCUCCCAUUGAGCCACGGACUGUUUUGUUGCCAGCAAGCAACCCAACACAACAAUUGCUAAAGGCAAGCCUCCACAUUUUUUCACCAUGUCUUUUCCAAGCUUCACAAAUUCUUCUGAGCAGCAUUGAGAACCCAUUUUGCUCCGUGGGAAUGCUUUCUUACACAAAAGAUUCCAACUUUCAUCAUCCGUAAGAAAUGAGAGCUCGAUGGGAGUGUUGCAAGAAUCGGCUCGUGAAGCCACAUUCCUGUUGCGUGUUGUGAACAAUAUUUUGCUUCCCUUUCUUCCUCGUGGAAAAGCAGGUUUAAGAAUAUCCCAGUCCUCGCUUCUCCAAAUAUCAUCGAGGACCACCAAAUACCGCUUUUCUUUCAAAGCAUCAAAAAGCGUUCUCGUCAGCUCAAUCUCGUCCAUUUUCUUAAUUUUCUCUCUAUCAUUGUUAGAAGGAGAGAGAAAUUUCUUCAAGACACUAAGCAAAACCUCUCUCGGCUUACAUUGUUGAGAGAUAGAAAACCAAGCCAAGAAAUCAAAAUGGCGUCUCACAUCAACAUGAUUAUAUACUUUUCUGGCAAGAGUAGUCUUACCGAGGCCCCCCAUGCCGACUAUGGAAACUACGGCGUGGGGUCUAUCUUCUUCAGUCAUCAAUUUGGUCAUGACAUCCUUGGUGCUAACCUCCAAGCUAACAACGUCCUCUUCCUCGACAUGUGAGUAUGCCCUUCUUAACCGUUGCUGCACCUUGAAAAUUGAGCUAGAGCCUUCUCCAUCACCGGGUAUCUCAAAAGCUGGAAGAUUCUCGGAAAUGUUUUGGAGCUCGGUCUUGAUUGCUUUGAGCUGCACCCCGAUUUUGUGCAGAUGAUAAGGUUUGGUGAAAAUGGAGGUGAAUCUCUUGACAAUCCCAUGAGAAUCUCGUUGAUAUGCUGCUUUAAGAAUAAAAGAGUCGAUGACAUCUUCAGCAUCAUAAGCAAGAUCUCUGAUUUCCGACACCCGAUUCUGGAAACGCGCAUCUUGUUCAAGAUUGCGAUCCGCGUCCUUCAAGAAACACUGCAUUCGCUUCAGUUCAGCCCUUAGACUCUCAACUUGAUCUUUCACAUCUUUGAGGAAAACAGCUUCAUGGAUGAGUAAAUCUGAAAUUCUUUCAACAGCUAAGGACACAAUAGCCUCUUCCAUUUCUCCUGCUGGUCCAGAACAGAUUCCACAAACUGAACUGCAAGUAUUAGUAGAAUAUUUUAUGUAUUAGUGGAGAAGUAUUUCUCUUUAUCAGAAGUUUUGAAGAGCUGUUUUUGGGGGUGAGGUUGGUAAUUAACUUAUUAUUAUUAUUAUGGAACGUAACUUUUUUUUAAAUAAAAUAACAUAUAUUAUCGAUAACCCUUGUUCUAAGUUGGUCAAAGUCCUUCUAACAUCGAUCUUGCUUCAAUUUUAAGUACUUCAUAUUUUCUUAAUGUCAUUGACUAACCACAUAACUAAUUACUAUUAGCAUCUUUAAUGAUUUCUUCAAUUACAACCGAAAUUGCACCAUCUGUAUUAAGCUUAACUAAAUCACUUUUUGAAGCUAAUCAUUUUGAAUCAAAAGCCAUAGAAUUCGAAUGGAACAUAGUCAUUGAGGGUGACGAAUAACUUCUCGUCUAACUAAUACCUGUAUCUACCUCAUCCUGAACAGAGCUAUGACUAUCAAAAAGUACAAACAUAUCCCUAUUUUUUUAUAAUAACCAACAUAUUUUUAUUGCUUAAUAGUAAUGUUUAUAUAUAAAAUAUAGAGUAAAUCAAAUUUAUUUUGCUAUCAAUAGAUGUUGAUUUAAUAAUGAAAAAUUCAUAACAAUUAUAAAAUAAUUUCUUCCAAUUAAAAAGCAAUUUUUAAAAAGGACUAAAAGAAAACUCGCUUGUUUUUUUUUUAUUCUUUUUAAGAAAGAAAAGGUUAGGUGUACACAAAAUUCCAAAAGCACAAUAGAUUUUCCACGUUGAAAACAAAAGCUGCUUUCAAUUUCCACAUUGGAUUCCACACAAAAUCGAUAAAGUAAAAUGGCAUGUGAAGAAAAAUUAUAAUCACUCACGUUAGUAGGCCAACCCUCAUAACAGUCAUUUCUCAUAACUGAUCUUAUAAGAGUGAGUUUAGAUGGGCGGUGCGUCUAUUUAUUAUUAGUGUAAAAAUAACGGUGGCGAUGAGAUUAAAUACUAUAGCAACAUUAUAGCGUGAGACAAAAAGUAGGUCAAACGCACCGUACCGCACCUAAUCGCCCAUCCAAACCCACCUUAAGACAAAAAAAAAGGGUUAAUUACUCGGGUAAAUUAUACUUAAGGUCACUAAAUUGUUAAUAAAUUUAUGUUUUGAUCAUUUAACUUUAAAAGUUUUAAAAUGAUUAUUGAACUAUUUGAAAGUUUUUAUUUUAGUCACUGAUCUAUUCAACAAUUUUAUUUAAGUCAUUAAACUAUUAGUUUUUUUUAAAAGUCUGAUUAGCUAGGUUAAAGUGACAAUUCGAUGAAUAGUACAAUAGAUCAGUACUUAUCCACGAGUAGAAUAACAUAUACUAGAUCAAGUCAAUUUGAUAGUUGGUGCCGAAGAACGGAAAGCAAAACUAUUUAAAUUUGGAUUCGUAGAUACGUGACAUUUGAAAUUGUUUUAUUAAAAAAAAACUUAAACUAUAGACAAGCAGGGGUAGAAGAGUUAGCGGGCAAACAAUGAAGGACAUAUAGUAGUGAUUUUAACAACUUAAUGACUUAAAGAAAACUUUUGAAUAAUUUAGUGACAAUUUUGUAACUUUUUAAUGUUAAAUGACUAAAACGUAAACUUACUAGUAGUUUAAUGACCUUGAAUGUAGUUUACUCCAAUUAUUUAUUAUUUUUACUGUGUUGUUUUUUAUGCAUUACCUAAAUUACCCAUCAAUAAACUUCACAAUUCCAAAAAGUGAAGGAUAGUACGCGUUUAUUAACGUUCAAACCCAUGUCCUUCAAUUCUUUUUUGCCCGGCCAAUAUAAAAUUUUAUCCAGAACGAAAGGACGACUUGGAAAACAACAGUACAAAGAAUGUUGAGAGAAAAUAACACAAUCACGAAUUUUUUUUAAUUUUAAUGGUGAAAAAGAGGGUUUUAAGAAGAGAAAUUUAUUUAUUUGAGGGAGUUCCAUAUAUAAUUUAAAUUUAGAAUUUCAAAAUUCAUAACAACUCAAUCUUAUCCGUGAAAAAAAAGUUGUGCAAUAAUUUUUACUUGGUUUGUUCCUACAAUAGUUAUAUUAGAGUUUAUCACGUAUGGAUCUGUGUUUGUUCUUCUUUUAGGGUGAGUUUAGAUGGACAGUAAAGUGCGGUGUAGCGGUGCAAUACGUUUAGUUUUUUUUUUUCUCACGUUAUAGUCUCGCUACAGUAUCUAAUCUCACUGCCAUUGCUAUUAUUACACUAACCGCAGGUAAAUGCACCGCCCAUCCAAACUCACCCUUAGUUUAUCACAUAUGCUCGUCCCUUUCCUUUCCCUUUUAUAGAUAGUACGAGGUGUUAUUGGUUCGAAUUGAGUUUAUAUUUAUUUAAAAUUGAUCCAGUUUAAAAACUUAUUUGCAUAUGUUAGUCUAUUUUAAACCUGUAAUUUUUAAAUAUAUAUUAUUCUUAAUUUAAUAUUUAAUAUUUCUAAUAAUAUUUUUUAUUAAAAUUGAAAUUUAUCAAUAUUUUUAUGUUUAAAUAAAAUUUAUAUAAAAGUCUAAAGUGGGUUGGGUUUAGAGGUGAUCAUGGGUUGGGCUACCCGGCCCGGCCCGAAGGUCUGCUCGAAAAAUAGGAGGGUUCGAGUAAAAAUAUAGGCCCGAAAUAUGAGUUUGGGCAAAAAAAGAGGCCCGUUUAGAAAACGGGUCAGGCCUCAGGUAAAACUAUUUUGGCCCGGGCCCGAAUCAUAUAUUAAAUAUAUAUAUAUUUUUAUUUUUAAUCAAAAAUACCUCUAAUUCUGGUUGGUUGAUUAUAUUUUGCAGGUUUUUGAUCUAUUUUGGUGUUGUAAAAUUUAAUAUGGGUUGGGCCAGGCCCGGUCCAUGAUCACCUCUAGUUAGGUUAGGUUUGAGAAAGUUGAAGCUUAACCAGAAUCUUUUUUUUUUUACUUUAGUCCAUUUUUCAGAUCUUAUUUUUUUUUUCUUUUGAGAAAUAAAAAAUAGAUGCCAUUAAACUUGAAAAUUAGAUACAACCUCUGCAUGGGUACCACUCAUCCUACUCUCCUACAUCCGUUAAUCGAUGGAGUAGUUCUUAAUUAAUGCAAAAGUUGCCUAAAAGAAACAAAGAGAAUAUAAAAGAAUCAAACCCUAAAAAUCAACUACAUGCUAAUUUUUAGAAAAAAAAAAACCUAUCAAUUUCUCCUUUAGCAAUCCACUCUUUCAUCUACCACAAUUGUGCCACCUUGAAAUGAUCUAUACUUUUAGUAUCCUUGAUGGAAAUUCUUGUAGAGAAAAGAAAUCGUUUUAUUCGUUUUUUUAUAUAUAAGAUGGACCUUUGAGCUUAAAUAAAUAAUUGAGAGGCUUUUUUUUAUAAAAAUAAUUCAAAGAUUUUGGUUAUUUAUGAAAUAAUUCAUUUUUUUAUUAAAUAUGUAAAUGAUAUAAAACCUACAGUAAAAGUUGGUGGAGUCAAAGAGUUUGGCGUCACCAACAUACCACGUCAGCAAUCGGGAUAAAAAAAUUUAUUUUUUUAGUAGAACCAUGUAGAGUAACAUCACCUGUAUAAAUACUAAAAAAAUACCGCUAUGUUUGAAAAAUUGGGGUACCUUAAAAGAAAAAACUUUUUUUCUGGUGAAGCUAAAUAAUUUUACGCUACCAAUUUCUAAAAUUACCUGCGUCAUCCAUUUUUAAAAUGUAGUUAUAUAUUUUAUGUCAUUUAUGUAUUUAAUAAAAAUAAGUAAUCGAAUUUUUUUUGAUUAUUUUUAUAAAAAAAGCCUUAAUAGAUAAUUCAUCAAUUACCCAAUCAAUCAAACUAUUAAUCAAACAAGACAGGUUUUAGCUUCACUCGGAAAAGCCACAGUCCACUCCCGUAGAGCAGCCAAAACAUAUUUAAUUAUUCAAAAGCCGUGUGCCGUUCGACUAAAACAAAAUUCCAAAUCAAGAAGCAAUUUUUUAAAAUAAAAACAAAAUUGCUUUUAGAAAAAGCUUUAGGUGGACACAAAAUUCCAAAAGCGCCAACACAUUUUCCACACAUUGGGAAUAAAACUUGUUUGCAAUUCAUAAUUGAUAGGAUACGACCAAAAGAAAAUAAAGAUAAUUAUUUGGAUAAAUUAUACUCAACCUCACUAAACUAUUAACAAAUUUAUAUUUUAAUUAUUUAACUUUAAAAAAUUAUAAGAUAAUUAUUAAACUAUUCAAUAGUUUUUAUUUAAGUCAUUGAACUAUUAAGGUUUUUUUUUAAAAAGUAGUUUGACUAGCUAGGUUCAAGCAACAAUUCAAUGAACAGUACAAUAGAUCAAUACUCAUUAACGAGUAUGUCGAAACCGCCUUUUCGAAAAUAAAAAUUUAGUUGUCGACUUUAAAAAUAAAAACUGAAGUUGCCACCGAUCCUUGAUUGAGGUGCGAUCGGUUCACCUUAAAAACAAUUUCGGCCUGCGAAAUUUGAGAAAACAAGUUCGGGAGUCAGUUACGCACGAGGAAGAGUUAGCACCCUUGUAACGCCCAAAAUCGGUACCAAAUUGAUUAUUUAAUAUCUUGGUGUCGAAAAUUUAAAAAGAUUUUAAAAUCAACUCAAAUGAUGAAAUUUGAAAAAGGAUAAUCAAUUGUUCAAGUCAUGUAAAGAAAUCGAGUCCCAAUACGUUAGGGUACAAUUCCUCAUAAUCCCCGAACUUUGAAUAUCACUUUUAUUUUAUGUAAAAAUCUUCAUUUUGAGAAAGUAAUAUGUCACACCCAAUACGUUAGGACACAACAAAUUAAGUUCCCGAAAAUAAUUUUUUAUACUCAUGCAUUUUGAAUAAAGAAUAUUCUCAGCUAUUUAAGAUAAACAAAGAAAAUCGGAACCCAAUACGUUAGGACUCAAUUUCCUAGAAAAUCCCAAACUUUGAAUAUUCCUUUAUUUAGGAAAAAAAACUUUGAAUCACGGGUAAAACUUUGAUGUAUUGUCAAAUCCAAAAUAUAUUUUCUAAAGGAUAUGUUAAAAAGUUGAUGUACAAUAUGAAACAAAACUUUAGUUUAAAAACAUAUGUGAAUAAAUAUCUGCAAAAUAUAUACAUACAAGUACAAUAUACAAGUAAAUUUGCAAAUGUGUGUACACAUAUAUUUAACACACAUAUACAAGGAUACCUAUAAAAAAUGGAAUGGAAUAUAUCAAUCAAAGACUAAUAAAAAAAUGCAUGUAUGUAUUUAAAAAUCGAAAAUAAACAAAAAGUAUGUAUAUGUAUAUGUAUAUAUAUUUACAAAAUAAAAAUGUAUAAGUAUAUAUGUGUUGGAAAAUCAUGAAAAUACGUAUAUGUAUAUUAAAACACUUAUAUAUAUAUAUGUAUAAUAAGUAUAUAAAUAAUGGGAUAUGUAUAGGAUAAUAUAUAUUUAUAAAAAAUGUGUAUUUUGAAUCGUAAAAUAUGGGAAACACGUGCAUUUUGAAAGGGAACGUUUGAAACAAAAAGAAUCAACAGAGGUAGAAAAAAACUAGCAGCAACAAAACUAAUGUGAAAACAAAAGAAGAGUGGAAAAGAUGGGAAAGUGGGGAAGUUGGACAUAUGGGAUGGAGAGACGUGGGAGAAUUUUGGAGAAAUAUUUUUAAUUAAUUUUUUCUUAAAAAAAUAUUAUCCUAACCAACAUAAUUUUUUUGAUAACCUAUCAAUUUAUUCAUAAUUCGAAUUUAACUAAACCGCUAACACAUGGGCAGCACACUUAGGGAGUUCCAAAAUUAAUUUUUGCUUUACAGGGAUUCAAACACGAGAUCUCUAAGCAAGCUGAAACUUUAUUAUUAAACUAGUAAAUUCAUUCUUAUUAAUAAUUAAGCAAAAAAUAUAUAUAAUUUAAAUAUUCAAGGAUAGGGGAUGGAACAAAAAUAAAAAAUUAAAAAAAAAAAGAUUUGCCUUAACUUUUGUUUCAUCAGUAGGCUUGUCUCAUAUCAGAGGAAAACUGCUUACAAAUGUGAGGCUAAGAUUUUUACGUUUCAGAAACAUGUAUAUAAAUGCUUCUCGGUUGGUCGAAAAUGAAGCAUAUAACACGGUUAUCUUAGUACAUAGAGUUCCCUGAAUUUACUACAUUUCGAUUUGUGUAACCUUAUUACAAAAACAAGUCUUCAAUAUGAGUCCCUACUUUGUUGUUAUUGUUUAUAGGAAGAAUAAAUUAUGUGAAACUCAACUUUCUUAAGCACCCUAACUUUUGUGAAUUUAGAUUAAAAGGGAGUUUAGUUCACAAAAUGUUUGAUUAACCUGACAAUUAGUGCAUUACUAGAUAUGUUACAGUACCGCGUUUGGUUCAAGGUAAAAGUUGAAAUAAUUCUAGACUCAAAGAUAUUUGAUUAUGGGUUUGUUCUUAGUAUAUAGUAAAUGAGUAAAAAGUUUUGAUUAAAAAAACUUUAUGGAAUUAUUAAUAUCAUUAAUUAAACAGUUAAAAAUUUUAAAAUGAUUAAUGUCGACUCUUUUUAUAAAAUAUUCGGGUGGGGAUUAGUAUAAAUCUGUUAAAAAAUUUUAAUCAUCAUUCCACAUAAGCCAAGAUUAGUAUAAAUCUGUUUUAUACAUUUUGUUAUAAGAAAUCGUACAUAUUUUUGUUAUGUCAUAUAAAAGUAUACAUGUUAUAUGUUUUGAUUGACAUUGUAUCAUCUAAUUUUUAAUAGAAAUAGUGAGUUUAAAAUUUAAAGGGGUUAUUUUACUAUUUAAAUAAUGAAUUUAACCAUUUAACAUCUAUUGAGUUAUUUAGAAUUUCUUUCUUCGGUUUAAAUUGAUUAAUUUCAAUCAAAUAGAUGCAAAUGAAGAACCAAUUAAUAAGAAGAUAAAAUUUUGAAAAAAUAAGCAAAUUGGGAGGCCGGAAGCCAGCAUUAGAUAUAUAGCAAACAAUCACUUCAUUCAAAGCUCAUACUAUAUGGCAAUCCAAUUCUUAUAAAAAAUACAUACACACACUUAAUGAAAUUAGAUAUCUGGGCAAAGUGCAUUCCAUAGCUGAUUUGGUAAACCUACAUCAAGAAAAAAAAUGGUAUGUAUAUAUCAUCAUCUCUUAUGUAUAAUAAUUAAAAAUAUGAAAUCAUAAAAUGAUAUUAAAAAUUUAGUUUUUCUAGAAAUAUAUUCAAAAUUCUUAUUUUUUUUAUAUUUUAAUUAUAAUUUUUAUGGUAAUUAAAGAUAUAUUCUUCUAUUCCGUUAUUUUAUCAAUAUUAUAUCAAUCUCUAACUCUAUGGGUGAAAAAGAAAAGAAAAAAGAAUGUAAAAAUUAUUAUUUUAUAGAAAUAAAUACCUCACGUGAUGUUGGCUCCUAUUAUUUUGGAAUAAAUAAUGUGGAUAGAGGGAAUGUGGCGCACUUUAUAGAAUUCCUCUCCUUCUCUUCCAUCUAUCCCUUUAAUCCUUUCUUCCAACGACGAAGACAUUCCUCUUAAAUUCAAUUCUUGGAGAGUAGUAAUGUAGCUCAAUCCUUCUGGAAGCAUCCUUAAACUCUUAAUAUAGACCAACUCCAAUUCUCGAAGGCAUGGCAUUGCACCUUCUUCUAUUACCCACUCCUUCAACUGAGGUAAGCACCACAUAUGAAGAUAAUCAAGUUUAGGAAAUCCAUUUGCAGAGCACACCAUUUUACUCCCAAUAUAUGCGUCCUUCAAAUAGAGAAUCCUCAAAUGACAUAGCUUUUCUAAUACCGCAAUUGGAUCUUGUAUGAGCUUACAGUAAAACAAAGUUAAUUUGACAAUAUUUGAUGGAAGAAAGUUCAAAACAUGACCGUUCGGAUGUGGCUCAUCUUCUAUCCCACCCACUAGUUUCAGUUUGGAGAGGUGAUAAUAUUGAGAAAGGGGUUCUAAGUCUAGGUGUGAGACAUCAAAAAAACAUAAGGAUACUGACCUAAGGCGUUGCAAUUUGGCUAGCAAGAUUAGGGUAGGCUUCACAUAUUCUGCUCCGGUAAAUGCUAUUCCUAAACUCUGAAUAUUAGUCCACCUAAGCACCGCAUUAUUUUCAGCCGCCUUCUCAUCCACCUCUAUGAACUUCAAAGUUUCAAUAUUUUUUGAACUGAACCCUUGCCGCCAACGAAAUCCAUUUUCGGACAAUAGCUCAUUAUCCAUUUUUAUUACAAUAUGCCUUAAACGUUCUAACUUAAACACACCAUCUGGAAUUACAAUGUCAUCACAAAACUUGAUGUAUAAAGUGUACAGAUUCUUCAACCUGCCAAUAGAUCCAGGCAAAAUCACUUUGUUGUUGUAGUAAAACUUCAAGUAUCUCAAAUGUUGGAGAUUACCAAUUUCAGUCGACACAUGCCACCCGUAGUUGCUCCUUUUUGCAAGAGUCAACACCCUUAAAAAUUUGAAGCUUUUGUAUUUUGAAAUGCACAAUUCUACCAAUUUCUCGGAAUGAGAAAACAACAAAGAGCGUAAUUUUGGAUGCUUUCCCUUCAAAUAAACUUUCGAUUUACUAGGAUGAAUAGAAAUCCUUCGUAGCAUAGAUUCUGCCAAUGUCACUUCAAGUUCAUGCAGUGGUUGUUGAAUAAUUUCCAAGAACUUCUCUUCUCUUGCUUUCUUCAUGCACAAGUCCCUCAAGAGAUCAUGCACUCGACAUGUCUUCACAUUUGUUCCUGUAUAGUCUCGCCUGCUAACUUGAACCAAGCUCCUAUCUAUAAGCUCUUCUAGGAAUUUUUCCCCUAAAUCCUCCAUCAAGAAUUCUUCGUUUUCCGGAAUGAAACCUUCAGCGAUCCAUAAACGAAUGAGUUCUUUUUUCGGUAUCUCCCAAUCUUCUGGAUAAUGACUAAGAUACAAAAAGCAGGGUUUUAAAGGAUAAGGCAAGUCAUUGUAGCUUGAAACCAAAAUUCGGUUCACUGCACCAUAUUGACGAUCUUGGUGUGGGAGCUCAUUUAAGUGUCCAUGGAUGUUUUUAUGAACCAUCUCCCACUGAGCCACUGACUGUUUUGUUGCCAGCAAGCAACCCAACACAACAAUUGCUAAAGGCAAGCCUCCACAUUUUUUCACCAUCUCUUUUCCAAGCUUCACAAAUUCUUCUGAGCAGCAUUGAGAACCCAUUUUGCUCCGUGGGAAUGCUUUCUUACACAGAAGAUUCCAACUUUCAUCAUCCGUAAGAAAUGAGAGCUCGAUGGGAGUGUUGCAAGAAUCGGCUCGUGAAGCCACAUUCCUGUUGCGUGUUGUGAACAAUAUUUUGCUUCCCUUUCUUCCUCGUGGAAAAGCAGGUUUAAGAAUAUCCCAAUCCUCGCUUCUCCAAAUAUCAUCGAGGACCACCAAAUACCGCUUUUCUUUCAAAGCAUCAAAAAGCGUUCUCGUCAGCUCAAUCUCGUCCAUUUUCUCAAUUUUCUCCCUAUCAUUGUUAGAAGGAGAGAGAACUUUCUUCAAGACACUAAGCAAAACCUCUCUCGGCUUACAUUGUUGAGAGAUAGAAAACCAAGCCAAGAAAUCAAAAUGGCGUCUCACAUCAACAUGAUUAUAUACUUUUCUGGCAAGAGUAGUCUUACGGAGGCCCCCCAUGCCGACUAUGGAAACUACGGCGUGGGGUCUAUCUUCUUCAGUCAUCAAUUUGGUCAUGACAUCCUUGGUGCUAACCUCCAAGCUAACAACGUCCUCUUCCUCGACAUGUGAGUAUGCCCUUCUUAACCGUUGCUGCACCUUGAAAAUUGAGCUAGAGCCUUCUCCAUCACCGGGUAUCUCAAAAGCUGGAAGAUUCUCGGAAAUGUUUUGGAGCUCGGUCUUGAUUGCUUUGACCUGCACCCCGAUUUUGUGCAGAUGAUAAGGUUUGGUGAAAAUGGAGGUGAACCUCUUGACAAUCCCAUGAGAAUCUCGUUGAUAUGCUGCUUUAAGAAUAAAAGAGUCGAUGACAUCUUCAGCAUCAUAAGCAAGAUCUCUGAUUUCCGACACCCGAUUCUGUAAACGCGCAUCUUGUUCAAGAUUGCGAUCCGCGUCCUUCAAGAAACACUGCGUUCGCUUCAGUUCAGCCCUUAGGCUCUCAACUUGAUCUUUCACAUCUUUGAGGAAAACAGCUUCAUGGAUGAGUAAAUCUGAAAUUCUUUCAACAGCUAAGGACACAAUAGCCUCUUCCAUUUCUCCUGCUCGUCCAGAACAGAUUCCACAAACUGAUCUGCAAGUAUUAGUAGAUUAUUUUAUGUAUUAGUGGUGGAAGUAUUUCUCUUCAUCAGAAGUUUUGGAGAUUUAUUUUUGGGGGUGAGGUUGAUAGUUAUUUUUCUUUGGACAGUAAAUAGCUGAACAUAUUAUUAUUAUGAUUAUUAUUAUUAUUAUUAUUAUUAAUGUGAAGAAAACGUAAGGUAAAGUUAUCAUCACUGACAUUAUAAAAUUAUUAUAAAAUUAAUAGGCCAACCUCAAUUCAAUUCUUCCAAAAAAAUAUUAUUCAAAUAUUCAAAAGUUUUUAUUUAAGUUACUAAAUUAUUUAAAAAAUUUUAUUUAAAUAAUUGAACUAUUAAGUCUGUUGACACCAUUUUUUUGAUGAAAACGGGGUCAACUUGGGUUUUAAAAAGUGAAAAUGAAAACGGGAAUCGCCACAAAUCCUUUUUGAUAAGGUGUGAUCCGGUCACCUUGAAAAGUGGUUGUAUUUAAUAAACGAUUUGACUUUAUUAAAACAACGAUUUUGGUCCACAAAAUUUAGAAAAACAGGUUUGAGAGUCGGUUAUGCACGAGGAAAUAUUAGCACCCUCGAUACGCCCAAAAUUGGUACCUAGUUGAUUACUUAUGUCUUAGUGUCGAAAAAUUGAAAACUUUAAAGAGAUUUAAAAUACGAUCCUAAAAAACUUGAAUGACAUGGAUUAAGAUUUAAGAGUAUAUUUGGCUAUUUGGUCCAACGAGAAAUCGAAACCCAGCACAUUAGGGCACGUUUUCUCGAAGUUCCAAACGCAAAACAUUGCCUUAUUUUGAAAUUAUUAAAAGGAUAUUUGGAUAUUUGGUCAAACGAGAAAAUCGAAACCCAACACAUUAGGGCACAUUUUCUCAAAUCUCCAAGCGCAAAACAUUACCUUACUUUGAAAAUUUAAAAGGAUAUUUAGCUAUUUGGUCGAACGAAAAAAGUCGAAACCCAGCACAUUAGGGCACGUUUCUCAAAUCUCCAAACGCAAAAUAUUACCUUACUUUGAAAAUUUAAAAGGAUAUUUAGCUAUUUGGUCGAACGAAAAAAAUCGAAACCCAGCACAUUAGGGCACGUUUUCUCAAAUCUCCAAACUCAAAAUAUUACCUUACUUUGAAAAUUUAAAAGGAUAUUUAGCUAUUUGGUCGAACGAAAAAAAUCGAAACCCAGCACAUUAGGGCACGUUGUCUCGAAUUUCCAAAUGCAAAACAUUGCCUUUAUUAUUUUUUAGAAAAAUCCUCAUCCCGAGAAAACAACGUGUCAUAUCCAAUGCGUUAGGACACAACGUAUUGAAUUCCCGAUAAUGAGCUUUUUAUUUAUGUUUUUAAAAGAGUAACCUCGAUUAUUUAGAUUCAACGAAGAAAAUCAGAACCCAAUACGUUGGGGCUCGAUUCUCUCGAAGAUCCCAAAUAUCGAGUAUUACUUAUGUUUUGAAGUUUUUCAUUUUUUUGUCAAACCCGAGUGAAAAUGGAUGUAAAACCAUGAUAAUGAUGAUAAUGUAAAUAAAUAACACGAGCGAAACAAAAGAUAAUUAAAUAAUAAAUGUAAAAACAAUUGUGCAGGCAUAAUAGCAAAUAAUAAACAGAUAAAAACUAAAGCAUGAAAAAAUAAUAGUAACGGACAUGUAAAUAAUUGAGCAAAGUUAACAACAUUAUAAAAAUAUAAAAGAUAUAUAUAUACAUAUAAAAUUAUGAAAAUAUGAAAAACAUAUGCAUGUAUACAUAUUUUAAAAUUAUUAUACAUGAAAAAUUAUGUAAAUAUGUAUGUGCAUACAUACAUACGUAUAUAACAAUUAUCAACUAUAAGAAAGUAUAUAUAUAUAUAGGUACGUACAUAUAUAUAAUAAAUAUAUAUAUACAUAUGGUUACAAAAAUAAGAAUAAGACAUGUAUAUAUAUACUCCAGGUUUAUAAAAUAUAAGAGUAUGUAAAUAUGUAUAUAUAUGCGUAUGAAAAUAAAGCUAACAGAACAGUAAUAGAAACUAGUUAAUGUAUUAAUAAAAUUGUAACGACUAAAUGAAAGGGAAAUAAAACUAAUAAAAAUUGAUGAUAAUAAUAAUAAUAAAUGAUAAUAACAUUAAAAUAAUGAACAAAAUAAUAAAAUUGCUACAAAAGGGACUAAAUUGAAAUGAAACAAAAAAACAGGGCGAAUUCGAAAUAAAAAGACUAAAAAGACUAAAUUGUGACACGCGCGGAAAGAGGGGGACCAAAAUGGUAAAUAAACCAAACCUCCAAAAAUGCGGCACUGCAGUGGACUAAAAUGAGACCAAAAUAAAACUUUGUGGCUAAAUUAAAAUAAAAAAAAUAAUGAAAAAGGGUCAAAUUGCAACGCGCUGCAAAGUUGGAAGGACUGCGCGCGGAAAUAUCCCAUUUGAAAAAAACGUGGAUCCUUGGCAGAGCGGGUCGGGUCUCGAGUCGGAUGGUACAAAACGAUGCCGUUUUGGCGUUUUAAAGGGCUGAGCAAAACGACGUCGUUUUGCUCCCCUAUUUAAACUAAUUUUUUUCAAAAAAAUUCAUUCUUCUCUCUUCUUGGCAAAAAAAAAAAAUCUCAAACACUCUCAACUCCCCUCCCCCUCUCCAGGCACCGGCCUCAGGUCCGGUGAAAGGAUCGUCGUCUGUCGCCGGCGAAGGGGCAAAAGAGUUUUUUUUUUAUUAAUGCAGGCGGUGUGAGCAAUGAAUGCCAUGUAACAUUGAUUUUAACAACUCAAUAACUUAAAUAAAAAUAUUCAAUAGUUUAGUGGUCAUUUUGUAAUUUUUUGAAGUUAAUUGACCAAAACGUAAACUUACUAGUAGUUCAGUGACCUUUGGAAUAGUUUACUCCAAUUAUUUAUUAUUUUCUGUGUUAUUUUUAUACAAUACCUGAAUUACCCAUAAAUAAACUUCACAAUUUUUAAAGUGGAAGAUAUUAGGCUAUUCUUUUUACUCAGCCAAUAUAAAAUUUUAUCAAGAAUGAAAGGACCACUUAGAAAAAUUUGAGAGAAAAUUGAUGAGUGAAAGAAAAUAAAACAAGCAGGGAUGUUUGAGUUUUAAUGGUGAUUUUCUUAAGAAGAGAAAUUUAUUUAUUUGAGGAGGAUAGAUACAUAAUUUACAUAAAAUAAGAUUCAAACUUAAACUUAAAAUUUCAAAAUUUAUAAAAUUAUUUUAAAAUUUACAUAAAAUAAGAUUCAAUUCAAUUCUUCCAAAUUAGUAUAAAAUUACAAAAUAUUUAAUCAUUCAAAGGCAAUUUUUAAAAUAAAAAAGCAAAAUUGCUUUAAAAAAAUGCUUUAGGUGGACACAAAAAGCAAUGGGUGUCAAAAUUCCAAAAGCGUCAACUGAUUUUCCACACAUUGGAAGUAAAAGUUGUUUGCAAUUUCAUUUCGUCCAAAUGACAACUACUUGAACACCCAGCAGUCGUUGCUCAUAAUUGAUAGGAUAAGACCAAAAGAAAAAAAAAUAAUUGUUUGGAUAAAUUAUACUCAAGUUCAUUAAACUAUUAAUAAAUUUAUAUUUUAAAUAUUUAAUUUAGAAAAAUUAUAGUUAUUAAACUAUUCAAUAGUUUUCUUUUAAGUCAUUAAACUAUUUAGAAGUUUUUGUUUAAGUCAUUGAACUAUUAAGUUCUUUUUUUUUAAAAAAAAGAGGCAGUUUGGCUAGCGAGGUUCAAGCGACAAUUUGAUGAACAGUACUAUGAAUCAAUACUCAUCAACGAAUAAAAGAACAUAUAUUAGAUCAUGUCAAUCUAAUGGUCGGUAUCCAAGAACAGAGGAGAGCUGUUUGGAUUUUAACACUGUUAUCUUAGUACAUAGAGUUUCCUGAAUUUACUACAUUUUGAUUUGUGUAACCUUAUUAAAACAAGUCUUCAAUAGAAAGUUGAGUCGCUACUUUGUUCUUAUUGUUUAUAGGAGGAAUAAAUUUCUUAAGCACACAAACUUUUGUGAAUUUAGAUUAAAAAGGGAGUUUAGUUCACAAAAUGUUUGAUUAACCCGACAAUUAGCGCAUUACUAGAUAUGUUACAGUACCGUGUUUGGUUCAAGAUAAAGUUGAAAUAAUUCUAGACUCAAAGAUAUUUAAUUAUUGGUUUGUUCUUAGUAAAUAGUAAAUGAGUAAAAAGUAUUUAAUACUUUAUGAUGAUUUUGACUAAAAAAACUUUAUGGAAUGAUUAAUAUCAUUGAUUAAACGGUUAAAAGUUUCAAAAUAAUUAAUGUCGACUCUUUUUAUAAAAUAUUCGGGUGGGAUGGGCGUCUUAUAGUUUGAACUUGUGUCAAAUGGGUACCUGAUAAAAAAUUUAAUCAUCACUCCAUAUAAGUCAAGAUUAAUAUAACUCUUUUUUAUAAAUUUUGUUACAAGAAAUCGUACAUAUUUUUGUCAUGUCAUAUAAAAGUAUACAUGUUAUAUGUUUUUGUAUCAUCUUACUUUUAAUUGAAAUAGUGAGUUGUAAAUUUAAAGGGGUUGUUUUACAAUUUAAAUAAUGAAUUUAACCAUUUAACAUCUAAUGAGUUAUUUAGAAUUUCUUUCUUUGAUUUAAAUUAGAUUAAUUUCAAUCAAAUAGAUGCAAAUGAAAAAACCAAUUAAUAAGAAGAUAAAUUUUUAGAAAAAUAAGCAAAUUGGGAGGCCAGAAGCGAGCAUUAGAUAUAUAACAAACAAUCACUUCAGUCAAAGCUCAUAGUAUAUAGCAAUCCAAUUCUUAUAAAAAAUACAUACACACACUUAAUGAAAUUAGAUAUCUCGGCAAAGUGCAUUCCAGUUGAUAAACUAUAAAAGUAACAUAUUUUAAUCCCAUUCUUAAUGUGUUGGAUGAUUUAUUAUUUAAUUUAGUGAAUUUGAUGCUCCUAAUCAUUUAAUUUCAUGUUUCUAUACUUAUGUGAGCAUAGGGGAACAAAAGGAGCGGAAAACGGGCCAAAAACGAACAAAACAGACCGAUUUAAGGAUCCACAUGGCUAAGACCAUUUCUGCACGGGCUGACCACACGCCCGUGUGUGCCACACGGGCUUGCCACACGCCCAUGUGCCAGCCCGUGUCGAAUUUGCUCCUUAUUUCCCAAACACGCAGAAAAUGCCAAUUUUUAGGGUUUCUAAGCAUUCUAAAGUCUAUAAAUACACACUAGAAGAGGACCUAAGGGGCACGCAAAGCUGAACGAAGAAAAGACUUGAAGAAUGCUAGUGGGUUCAACUCAGAAGUAGGAUCUCCUUCAAGACUGAAGAUCUCCAUUCAAUUUCUCUCGAAGUUUUUGGGUUUCUUUAUGUUUUCUUGUUUUCCUAAUUUUGAGAUGUUUUCCUCCCCAAGUAUGAACUAAAUUCCCUAGACAUCUAGGGAGGAUGAAACCUAAGGCUGAACUUAUUAUUUGAUUUUUCUGAAUUACAUGAUAAAUAUUUGUCCUUGAUCUCAAUUAUGUGUUCUUAUUUCAUGUUUUAAUGUUUUCAAGAUAUUAGUUCAUGAUUGGUGUGCUUAUUCAGUGGAGCAAAAGUCCCUAUUUAAGAGUAGAUCUAGCAUAAUUGAAUAGAGUUGCAUGCAAUCCUAGAAAUAGGACGACAUAAACCUAUCGAAUUAGAGUCAAAUCUAAUAGGAGAAUCCAUAGAUCGGAUUAGAGUCAAACCUAAUAGGAGAAUCCAUAGAUCGAGUUAAUACGAUAAUAGGGGUUUUAAUUAGAAAGAGAUUUCAAUUAAUCAACAUAGAGUUAGUUGUUUUUAUUCUCGAAACAGAUAUUAACAAAAGUUAGGGAUUUCUACAGAUCAAGACAAGUGAAUAAAUCGUUUAAUUCAGAUUUAGAAUAAUAAAAUAUUCGGGUGGGAUGGGCGUCUUAUAGUUUGAACUUGUGUCAAAUGAGUACCUGAUAAAAAAUUUAAUCAUCACUCCAUAUAAGUCAAUAUUAGUAUAACUCUGUUUUAUACAUUUUGUUACAAGAAAUCGUACAUAUUUUUGUCAUGUCAUAUAAAAGUAUACAUGUUAUAUGUCUUUUUAUAAAAUAUAUGGUAUUUAAUACUUUAUAAUGAUUUUGAUUAAAAAAACUUUAUGGAAUGAUUAAUAUCAUUGAUUAAACGGUUAAAAGUUUCAAAAUGAUUAAUGUUGACUCUUUUUAUAUAAUAUUCGGGUGGGGAUGGGAGUCAUAUAGUUUGAACUUGUGUUAAAUGGGUACUUGAUAAAAAAGUUUAAUCAUCAUUCCACAUAAGCCAAGAUUAGUAUAAAUCUGUUUUAUACAUUUUGUUAUAAGAAAUCGUACAUAUUUUUGUUAUGUCAUAUAAAAGUAUACAUGUUAUAUAUUUUGAUUGACAUUGAAUCAUCUAAUUUUUAAUAGAAAUAGUGAGUUGUAAAUUUAAAGGGGUUAUUUUACUACUUAAAUAAUGAAUUUAACCAUUUAACAUCUAAUGAGUUACUUAGAAUUUCUUUCUUUGUUUUAUAUUGAUUAAUUUCAAUCAAAUAGAUGUAAAUGACCAAUUAAUAAGAAGAUAAAUUUUUGAAAAAAUAAGCAAAUUGGGAGGCCGGAAGCCAGCAUUAGAUAUAUAGCAAACACACAAUGAAAUUAGAUGUCUCGGCAAAGUGCAUUCCAGCGCUGAUUAGGUAAACCUACAUCAAGAAAAAAAAUGGUAUGUAUAUAUCAUCAUCUCUCAUGUAUAAUAAUUAAAAAUAUGAAAUAAUAAAAUGAUAUUAAAAAUUUAGUUUUUCUAGAAAAAUAUUCAAAAUUCUUAUUUUUUUAUAUUUUAAUUAUAAUUUUUAUGGUAAUUGAAGAUAUAUUCUUCUAUUAUGUUAUUUUAUCAAUAUUAUAUCAAUCUCUAACUCUAUGGGUGAAAAAGAAAAGAAAAAAGAAUGUAAAAAUUAUUAUUUUAUAGAAAUAAAUACCUCACGUGAUGUUGGCCCUUGGGAUCGGAUUAAUAAUGUGGAUGGAGGGAAUGUGGCGCACUUUAUAGAAAUCCUCUCCUUCUUUUCCAUCUAUCACUUCAAUCCUUUCUUUCAAUGACGAAGAUAUUCCUAACAUUAAAUUCAAUUCUUGGAGAGUAGUAAUGUACCUCAAUCCUUCUGGAAGCAUUCUUAAACUCUUAACAUGGAUCAACUCCAAUUCUCGAAGGCAUGGCAUUGCACCUUCUUCUAUUUCCCACUCCUCCAGCUUUCUUAAAAUCAUUCCAAGAAAAUCAAGUUUAGGAAAUCCAUUUGCAGAGCACACCAUUUUACUCCCAAUAUAUGCUCCCUCCAAAUAGAGAAUCCUCAAAUGACAUAGCUUUUCUAAUACCGCCAUUGGAUCUUGUCUCAGCUCAUUAUCAAAGUUAAUUUGACAAUAUUUGAUGGAAGAAAUUUCAAAACAUGACCGUUCGGAUGUGUCUCAUCUUCUAUCCGACCC
rnacentral:lncRNA from 1 species